ACCGGUCCGCCUAACGCUGGGGACUACCUGUACAGUUAAAAACGGGGUGAGUUUAUGAAAACUCAGUGUGUAAUCCCCUUACUAGAGUAACAAUCAGUAUACAAAAACAAAAACAGUCUGGGCCAGAGCCCUUUAACAGUAACAGUACAGUCCAGUUCAGAGCAUAAGUGGGCCAAAGCCCAUUACAUUAUCAUUUGGGUCACAAACCAUAACAGAAUCAAUUGGGCCAAGCCCAUCUCAGUAACAAAAUAGAAUGUGUGAAUGCAUGGAUGCAUGCUAUCCCAUCCAACCCUGCACUUGCCUCCGUCCAACCCUGCACUCACUUACGCCAUCCCUACACUUACAAUGUUAGCACCGGUUGUAGCACUAACCGAAAUCACAGCAAAGCUGCUAGUACAUAUAUGGCUUGAAGCCUUCAGUAGCGAUAUUAUAAUUGGCAUAAAGCCAUCAAUAACUGUAAUAAUUUCGGCACAUAGCCAUCAGCGAUGGUAAUAUAAUCGACACAUAUCCAUGGGUAAAUAUGAUCGACACAGAGUCAUCGAUAAAUAUGAUAGGCACAUAGCCACUGUUAAAUAUGUUUUGUACAAAUCCAUAAUCAACAUAGCAUAGAGCCGUAUUUAGGUUGGCAUAGAGCCAUAACCAGAUUAAGCAGCACUAAGUCGUUCAUCAGUCCACAGUCGUCUCAUGCAACCCGUGCGACCUUAACAGAUCAAUACUGGAUCCACAGUUGUCUCAUGCGUCCCGUGCGAUCCUAUCAGAACUUCUUCCGUAUCAAAGUCCCAACCCUAUGCAGUAUGUCGUGUAUGUCAUGCUCAAUCAUCACACGUGUAUACAAAAUGGCCAUGCUCAGUAACAAUCAUUUAAACAUAUAUUAAAAGUAUAUCAGUUUUACAACCACAGUUAAGUCAGUUAAAACACAGUCUUGCAAUCAUAGUUAAAUCAGUCAAAUUCAUAGUCUAAGUCAGUCAUUUACCCACAAGGGCAAAAAAGUCAUUUUACCUUACAGGGGUAUUUCAAUAAUUUACACUACAAGGGUAUUUCGGUAAUUUUACAAACUAGGGGUAUUUCAAUAGUUUUGCAAUCGAGGGUGUUUCAGUAAUUUUACAAAUUGGGGGUAUUUUGGUAAUUUUACAAUCCGAGGGUAUUUCAGUAAUUUUACAAACUAAGGGUAUUUCGGUAAUUUUACAAGCUGGGGGUAUUUCGGUAAUUUUACAAAUUAGGGGAUUUUAGUAAUUUUACAAAUCGAGGGUAUUUCGAUAAUUUUACAAUCUAAGGGUAUUUUGGUAAUUUUACAAACUGAGGUCUUAACGACCCGACAGAUGGUCCACUGUCGCCUCGAACGACUUAAGUAACCUAAACAGACCUAACGAUGUAAAUGAGUCUAAGGCCCAUACUUGGCCCAAGUGGGCCCACACACUCAUGUGGCCUAUUUAGCCAAGAAACUGCCAUAGCUAUGCAAACGUCACAGUCCAAACAACACUUACCACAUCACAUACAUUUUAUCCGUGUGGGCCCACAAGCCCACUGUGCCCAUUUAGGCCCAACGAGGCCAAGAACAGCCCAAGACCACGAGAGCGCUUGUGGUGGCCUCUACAGUCUAAUGCCCAUGUUCGUGGGCUCGGUUCACCACACGUGCGAUCACACGCCCAUGUGGCAUCAUACGCCAUAUUUUCGGCGUAUUGGCAUUUCACCGAUCUACAGUCAUAGUAGUCCAAACAACACAUACUUUUGGCUUCCAAACGAUUAUUGAAUAUCGCACACAAAUACACACACUUUUGGCUUUUCAACCGAUCAUCAAACAUAGCACAUAGUUACACACCUGAUCACGUAGAGUACUAAGUAUUCCCGAGCGCCAAAACCUAUUCAAACAUAACAACGGUUAAUCACUUAUCAACAAAGUUAAAAGAACAUUAACCAAACUCCUAGCCGAAGGAUCGACUACCACUUGCCUUGACUCGAACGGUCAACUAUGAUUUGCCUACUUAAUCCAAAGUUUGGUGCAAUCACCCUUCCGCAACUUGGUGGAAAGUCUCGAACUGUCGACACCCUACGUUGCUUAAACUUGGGGGCAGAGACUACACGUCCACUCCCAGUCGGCACCACUGUCAUCACUUUAUUGCAAGAACCCCCUUUGCUCGUCGAGAGUUUGAUUAAUAGAGAUUACUUGCCAAAACAAGAACAAAAAAGGAGAAAGUAUGGGAUGUAGAAGCAGAGAAUCCGCUAAACUAAGGCUAAACCGAAAAGGGUUUGAGAGGAGAAAAAGAAGAAGAAGUAUUCGGCCAAUGAUUGAAAAGGAAAUAUCAGAGGAGGAGGAGAGUAGAGAUUCGGCAAUUAAGAGAAAAGAUUGAGAGGAAGAAACCAAAUUCGGCUUAAAGAAAGAAAUAAGAAUGCCCAAAAUAAGAGUGCCUAUUCGGCCAAAGCAAGAAAAGAAGGCAAUAUUCUAUCCCAAAAAUUGAUCAAGAAACACAAGAGAAAAGGCAACAGAGAAUUCGGCACACAAGGCGUAGAAACCAAAACUAGAUGUCAAACACUCCCAAAAACCCGAAAUUGAGCAAAGAAAAACUGAAAUGUGACCACAACCCCCUGCCAAAAUUUUGAGUAAGAAAGGGAGUUCAAAUUUGGCACCAACACUCCUCCCAUGCAACUCUCCUAUUUCAAAUUCCUUGAUUUUCUCCCCAAAUCACUCAACAUCCAAUUCAACUUUCCUUGAAACACUUACGACCAAUUCAAUCUUAGAGUUUCAGUCCAACUCCACCUGUUUCCAAGCUUAGCCAGCAAAAUAAAUAAUUCCUUUACCUAUGCCACGAAUUGAACCUUAGACGUCAUGCACACCACUCACACCACCUUGCCACUAGACCACAAACUCCUUUUGUGAUAUAUUUUAACCACAAAUAUUUAAAAAUCCCACUUUCAAGCACCAAGGGUUUUAUUCACUAAAAACAAAAAAUUUAGCUAAAGCCCAAGUUUGAACCCAAGACUUCUCCAACACUCCCAAAUAAGCUCAAUUACUUGGCCACUAAAGCCAACAUGCAAUUUGUGAUAUUUCUAGUACACAUAGACUUUUAUGUGUUCCCACGCUAAAGGCCUAAUCCUUCUAGGCCCAAAUUCGGUGUCUUACACACCACACAUGUUAUAGCCUCACUUAUACAUAUCAAAACAUGUUCAUCACAAGCCAUUCCAAUGGCUAGUUAUAACCGAAACAUUUACAUGCCAACAUUGUCUAAUUAUCCUAUACAUGCCAUUAUAACCAUAAUUAAUUUACCAUAUAUACCAAGAUGGGCCGAUGGAUAGUGUGAGUGAUCUCCACCGAUGUUUUCAAUCCAACGAGCUUUCGAAUUACUAUAGAACAAGGGAAAAUAAAAUAGAGUAAGCAUGAAAUCCUUAGUAAGUUCGUAUAAAAUGGUAAAUAACUUACCAUAUCUUUAUGUUCAAAAUAAACAUGCAAGGCAUUAUCAACAAAUUUUAUCGCAAGCCCUAAACACAUAUCCUCAUCAUGUUAGACAAGUAAUCACAUAUAAUAGUCCUUAGUCAUGGAUGAAAAAGGUCAUCAAGCAUGAUCCAUAUUCAUGUAACAACAAAUUCAUGCAUCAUUAUAUCAGGUAAUGUAACAGUCUGAUUUGGACCCUAAUCGGAACAGUGGUUUUGGGACCACGAAUCCGAGUCAGAAAAAUAUUUAAAAAUUAUUUUCUGUGUUUAUUUUGUGUGAAUUUAUAUCUGUGAAAUUUUCAUGAUUUAAUUUUGUCGUUUAGGUGUCCGAUUAAAUAAAAUGACUUAAUCACGUAAAUUGAAAAGUGGGUAGUUUAUUUUGUAAAGGGCUUAUUUGUUAAUGGCUUUCUAAGUGGGAGUAUUUAUGAUGAAAUUAUCCCAUUAUAUAUAAUUUUGGACAGUAGUGGGCAUAAUGUAAGUGAUUUUAUAAUUUAUUAACUAAGGUUAAAAAGGUAAAAUAAUAAUAAGUUAAUAUAUGUUAUUAUAUUAUAAAAUAAUAAGCCAUAUUCAUGUUAUUUUCUUCAUCCUUGCACCGAAGCUAAAACAAAUAAAAAGAAAGAAAACAAAGUAUGGUUCGGCCUUGUUCAAGCUAGAUUAAGGUAAGUGUUCAGCUCGGUUUUUGAUAAUUUUUACGUUUUUGAUAUCGUUGCUUCGAGUACUACAAAAUCCAUGCUUGAAUUUUUUAUUUUGAUGAAUAUUUUGAGUUGUGCCAUUGUUGAUAGCUUGUGAUUUUUGUGGUUUGAUGAUGAAAAAUGAAAGAUAUGUUUUAGCUUAACAUAUUUUGUAUUGGAAUUUUUUAUGAUUGUGAGUAAUUAGGUCUUAAUUGCAAAAAUAAUAAUUUGAAGGACUAAAAUGUGAAAUAAAUGAAAUAUAUGGACUUGUAUGGUAAUGUGUAAGAUUCGGCCAAACUUGGGUAUUUGGAAAUUUUGUGUAUUUUGUGUUUUGUGCAAUAGGGACAAAAUUGUGAAAUUUGUAAAUGUUAGGGGUAAAAUAGUAAUUUGUCCAUUUAUGUGUUUUUGGAAUAAAUUGAAUGAAAAUAUGUUUGAAUGAGCUUAAUUUGAAUAUGUUUAGAUCAAGAACCAAAGAAAUCAUAUUUGGAUCAGGGGAAAUCGAAAGUUGUCGACUAGUCAAUCCGUACCUGUUUUUCUUUGUCCGAGGUAAGUUUAUAAGCAAAUAGGCGUACUAAACUUUAAUUAAAUGCAAAGUUUAUAUGCCAUAAUGAAAUAUAUCAAUUAUUAUGUGCUAAUGCCGAAUGUGUAUAAGCAUGGUAACUUUGUUCUUGUAAUCGUUUUGACUGAGUGACGACGUCUAGAAGCCCCGUAUGAACCUUAGGAAUAGUUGGAUACAUAUGUCAUGAGAUAGGAUUCCAAUAUAUGUGAGCGAGUAAGACCAUGGCAUCAUUAUGUGAUUUCGAUAUGUGUUUACGAGUAAGACCCUGUUUGGGACAGUGGCAUCGAUAUGUGACUACAUGUAAAACCACAUUUGGGACGUUGGCAUUGUACGACUUGUGUGAUUAUCCGAGUGUCAUAUCCAAUUCCGAAUGGUUCAUCGGGCAAAGGUAAAUUGGGUACGAGUGUGUAUUACGAGUUAAAUAGCCAGGUAUGAAUUAGUUUGUUAGGUAUUUAUGAUAAGAUAAGUUUAUACUUGAUAUUUGUUUGUUCAUGUGAAAUUGAUAUUAAUAAAUUUAAGUGAUGUUGGUAUGUGAAUUCGGCUUUGUGAUCAUAUAAGUUGAGCAUCAAUAAAUGAUUAAUAAUUAUAUGCAAGUGUUUGACUAUAUAUAUAAAUGGCCCUGCUGGUGAUAUACAUAUAUAUAAAUAUAAAUAUUUAUGCGAUAUUAUAUUGUGAUUUACUAGCUUAUGUAAAAAAGUAUAUGCAGGUUUGAUUAUAAUAUAAUUAGUUGUUUGGAAAGUUGAAUGAUAAUAAGACAAUUUGGCCUUUUGACCAUUCGGCCAAGAUAAUGUCCAUGUGCGAAUGUAUACAUGGUGAUUUAUAAACAGGUUUUAAGUUGAGAUUAAAUGAUUUUGGAAAUCAAGUUACAAUCUCGGGGAUCGUCAGCGAGGCUCAUCACACUAUCUACUAUUUUGGGUACCUUUAUAAGUUAAAUACGAAUUAUGGCAUGUAUAGAUUAAAGUGUCCUUGACUUGAUGAAUUUUGGUUAUGUAUAAAAGCCAUGCGAAAAUGGCUAAACCUUUAAGUUGAAUUCGGUUAUGUUAAGUAUGGGCUAUGUCUAUCCUGGUAUUAUAGUUACGUGCUAGAAUAUUUAUAAUGUUGCGAUAGGUAUUAUAUGCUUGAAAACGGUUUGCUUAUUAUGUCUAAAUUUGGACUCACAUAUUCUUGGUUAAAAGAUUUAAUGAGCUUGAUUCAUGAUAAAUUGCUAGUGGGAACUUGGAUGUGUAUGUGGUUUUAGGUGAAUAAAUUUGGUUAUGAGAAUAAAAGAAUAAUAUGUAUUUAGUGUAUUAUAUAAUAAUUAGUGAUAGAAAUGUAAAAUGUGGAACGAAUAAUAAGUGUUGGAUAGAUAUAUAUUAGCUUAGCUGGUUGCGUAAUAUGUACAUGUUUAUUAUUAGUAUAUUCGGCCAUAGUGCAAUGUAUAUUAAACAUUUAUAUGUGAUUACUUAUUAAAUUAUAUAAUGUGAUUAUAUGAUUAGAUAUAGUUACUAAGAAUCUGCUUUUAAUGUUAAACCAUGGAUGACAUUAAAUGAUCAAUAGUUAAGAUGUCCAAAUAUUGAUUACUACUUUGUCAUUGAAUACGUAACUUUAGGUAUAUAUAUAAGUGUAUUUUUAAUGGUGUGUGCAUAAAGUGGUUAAAUUUGCUAGACCAAAUAUUUAUAUUAUAAUGAUUACAGUAGGUAUGAAUAAUCUUUACUAAUUAAUACUUAAAGGAUUAUAUGGAAAUGCAUUAUUAUUAUCAUGAGGUUGUUUCAUUUUGUAUUAAUGAGUAAGUCAUGCAAGUUUGAAUUGUCUAUUACCUAAGUCGCAUAUGUAGUGGUUUAAGAUUUGUAUUAUGGCUUACUAAGUCAAAAAAAAAAUUGCAUGUGAUUUGGUGACUAUAUGAAUAAUUCCGUAACUGGUAUUAGAAGUAGGUUUGACCAUGUUGAUAAUAGUUAAUAUCAGGUUUAUAAAUGCAUUGGGGCAGUAAGCAAUUCGUUGAGUUUAGUUGUGACUUAUAUAUGCAAGAUGUAUAUCAAUAUAUGUCCUGAAAUACGAAUUGAUUUUAUUUUAAUUAUAAAUGAAUUUGACUUGAGUGAAUACGUAUGGAUGUUUGGAAUUGAACUGUUGAUCAGAGAUGCCUCAUAAUCCUAAUCUGGCGACGGAUGGGGACUAGGGGUGUUACAGGUAAUGUCAUUUCCAUGUACUUCAUGUACAUACGGGUAAUAGAUUGUUUCUAAGUCAUACUGUCUCAUAUAAACAUCAAGAAACAUGUAUGGGCUCAAUAACAACCAAAUUCCCAUAUACAUAUACUUUCCACAUCAUGAAUUCAAAUAAUAUAUAUAAUUGAUACCCAUGUAUUUCAAGUACAUUUUCAUAAUAUUUUUUCUCAAGUUCAGAUUAUUUCAUGUCAGGAUUUUGCUAAUUAAAUUAAUUAAAAUAUCAAUAGAAACCCAGGAAAAUACACUUGAAGUGUACAAAUCUAUAAUCUUAGAUGAACAUAUUCAUCAAACAAGUUCUAUGUUCAUAUAUCACCAUCUCAUACUUCCAUAUAUCAUGUAUAAUCAUUUUCACGUAUUUUAGGUAGAUACAUGUAACAAUUCAUUUCGUGUUCAUAUUUUCUCAUGUCAGGAUUUUUCUUGUUGAAUUUAUUUGAAAUAUCGAUGGACACACAUGUAGUACACUCAAAGUGUACAAAUUAGAAACAACCAAUUCAUAUUCAGGGGUACCCAUAAAAGCACAUAAUCAGGAAGCACGCUCUCAAGCCAUAUAUCAAGAUGCUUAUUCGACCUAUACUAGGAAUCUCAUAAGAGUCUAUAACUGGAUGUUCACAAAGAACUUUUAAUCAAGCAACUCACGAAGAGCCUAUCAAGAAGCUCAAAAACAGCCAUGUAACAGGAGAUCCAGAUAGCAUAAUAGGAAGUUCAAGUGAGCCAUGUCAGGAAGCUCAGAAGAGCCUAUAUUAGGACGCUCACAAAGAGUUGCAUUUGUGUCUACAAUAAAUGUUGGAUCACAACCAAUCAAAUCAUGUAACAAGACACUCACAAAGAGCUGCGGUAGUGUGCAACACAUGCAGAAUUACUACCGGUCAGGAUGCUUGUAGGAACUGUAUAACAGGAUUGCUCGUCCGAGCUAUAUUCUGUCUGCAACAUAUGUACAGGAAAUCAUGUAUCCAUCAAAUUUCAUUAUUCAAACGGAACUUAUCAUUUUCUGAACAUUAACGGGCAUGUGGUUAUUUCAUACAUUUAUAACAUUUAUAUAAUUCAUAUAAACACCUACCACACUCAAUUCAAGCAUAAAAAUAAGCACAAUUUAGUUACACGAACUUACCUCAAUAUAUGUUCAUGUACGUAAAAUCUACUAAUUCGACACUUUCUCUUUUCCUCACUUUAACUUUGAAUUUGGUCUAUCGGGAUCUAUACAAGUAAAUUUAACAUCAAUUUAAUACAAUUCAUACCCAAUUCAAUCCAAUUCACAUUUUAGGCAAAAUUACCAUUUUGCCCCUAAACUUUUAAUUAAUGGCGAUUUCGUCCCUAAGCUUGGAAAAUGAAAUUCAUGCAAUUUAAUCCUUAUUCCAAGCCUAGUCAAAUUUUACAUAUAAAAUUUACAGCCCAUGUAUUUCAUAAAAUUCAUAGUUUUUCCUUCAAUUUUACAACUUUACAAUUAGUCCUAAAAUCAUAAUUUCAUCAAAAUUCACUUUACAAAAGUUGUUUAUCUAUCAACAACCUUUCAUUUUCUACUAUAAUUUUUAAAAUUUCAGUAUUUACAUCCAUGGAAAAUUUUCUAUACUUUGAUAUCUUUACAAAUUAAUAUCCAAAAUAGAUAGAUUAAGCUAUUCCGAUCUCGGAAAUAUAAAAAUUACUAAAAACAGGACAAGAUUACUUGCCCAAUUAAGCCAAGAAAGCUUGCUUUCUCUUUCCUAGGGUUUCCAUGUAUUUUUGGGGAAGAAGAUGAUAAAUUGAUGAUAUUUUCAUUUUUUUUAUUAUUUAUCAUCUUUUAUUAUUUCACUUUCCAAUUUCGUCAUUUUAAUUAUUUUAUUUUCCAUGGAUGAAUCAUCAUCCAUAACAACUAAGCAUUUUUAAUGGUCUAUUUACCAUUUAAGGACCUCAAAUUUUGAAUUCCAUAGCUAUUUAAUCCCUUUAGCUAUUAGAACUCAACUUUUACACUUUGUGCAAUUUGGUCUUUCAUCAAAUUAAACAUAUAAUAAAUAAAAUUCCUUUAUGAAAUUUUCAUACGACAUUAUUAUUAUACUGUAGAUUUUAAAAUAAUAUUGAAAUAAAUUUCAUUUUUGAAAUCAGAUUUGUGGUCCCGAAACCACUGUUCUAAUUUUACCGAAAAUGGGCUAUUACAGACUAUGCCCAAAGAUUCGGUAUUCUAGUGUGCAAGAAACCACCAAAUCGAUACUUGCCAAUGUAAUCUACCGGGCAAGCUCACAAGGAAUGGGAAGAGGAGGAAGAAGGCAAAGACGAGGAAGAAGAAGAAGUGCCAGCCCUCAAUGAGGAUUUUGAUGAGAUGUUCCGACCGGAGCAACCAUCCAUCGGAGGAGUUAAGAUUCGCACUUCGAGCCAUACAAGCCCCAUUAGUUUUGCAUGUGCGAGAGUCGUCACACUAGACACAAGUCGAAGGAAGAACCCGAUAAUUAAGGAGAAUCAGCUAGAUCCCGAUUCUAAUUAAAAACUUUUGAACUGUUAAUUUUUCUUUUUAAAGUUGGGACUUGUAAUUUUAUUUUUUUGUGAUGAUUUUUAUUUUGGUUUGAACUUUGUUUUAGUUUAUAUUAUGUUUUUUCGUUAGUUAAUUUCUAUGUUGGAACCUUGUACGAUAUGCGACACUAUAUUUUAGAGUUAAAUUGACACGAGGAGGACCAACUGACCACAUCUGAGGAGCUUCAAUGCUAAAAUCGGGUAGUCUCUUCUCUUACAUAUCGGAUACACCUUAGGUACAAUGUGCCAAAUAAAAUGUGCGGGUAACAUAGAAUUUUUUCAAAAAAAAAAUCAAGUUAUUUUUGUUUUAUUAGUUAAUUUUCAUUAAUUUUUAUUUUUGUGUGUUGUUUGUGUGCAAGCUUAUAGCAAUACAAAUGAUUGGUUAGGAGCAUGUAAAUUGGAUUUUAUGUUUGAAUUGUAAAUUUAAUUCGAUAGCAAUUGAUUUUAGGUUGUUCAAUUUUACACUAAUUAGUUUUUUUUGUUGCAUUGUGAAUAGGUGAAAGUGUGUUAGGUAUACCAUAUGACUAAUAGGUACACAAAAAGCAUAUAUGAUUGUUUGAAUAACAAGUGUUAGUGUAUUAAUAUUUAGUUAAUUGUAGUCCAUGAAUUGAGACACUUAGGGAUGACCUAAGGUGUUGUUUGGUAGACAUUUUCGAGCCAAAAAGCUAACCUUAAUUUAAAAUCCCUAGUGCCCUAAUUUUUUUAGUCUAAAUCCUAAUUUCUUGAUGAACCAAAAUGGGGGCCCUAAACCUUAAAAUAUAAUCUCUUGAUUCGACUUUUUUGGUCCCUGCACGAACGUAGACAUCAGGCCAUUAAUAUUGAUGGUUAGGUAGAUAUGACUUGAUGGUUUGCAAGAUAAAGAAAAAUAAGAGUGAACCUAAGGGAUAGUAUAGUCUGAUGAGUAUAAAAGUCUUACAAACUUGUGCAUAAAUAGAAAAAGUCAAAAAUUAAUCAAAAGGAAAGGUUUGAAUAGGCUAAAAUAGUCAAGUGAGAAGUCUAGAGAAAACAGAAAAACAAAGUGAGUGAAAAAGAAAAGAAAAAAAAUUCAUCAUUUUUGCACAUUAGUCUCGCUAAGAGAAUAGUAUUCACUAAUACUUUACUGUACCUUAGGAAUCAGAGAGAAAAGGUAGGUGAGAGAAAGGGAUAUAAGGUGGUGAGCUAAAUGGCUCAAUUGGGGAAGUUUUGCGGUCAGUAUAAUGUGCCAAACUAUUACUGUGCUUAAACUGUUUAGUUGUGCCUACUCUUUGAUUUUGGACCAACCUAAGUCGUAGAAUGUCACAAGCUAAAAAGACUUAUGUAACCUAAGUGACACAAUUUAUGGAUGAAAAUUGAAUGAAUUUUGACAUGUCUAAUGACUUGUAUUCUUCGAGCAUAAUUGUAUAUUUUGUGUACCUCUUUCGAUGGAUCAAUGUACUUAACAUUUUUUAAUUUGUUUGUUUUGUAAUCUUAUGAAUUGUGUGUGAUACUGAAGGUCAAGAGUCAAUUGUAUAUUGUAUUAGAGUUACUUAUUUAUGCACAUUUCUCUAUGUACAUAACUUUAAACUAGUCUUUGUAUACGACAUGCUCAAGCAUUGUUUGGUUUAUUUUCAUUUUUUUUAUGUGUGUGUUUUGUUUUAUUGCUUGAGGACAAGCAACGACUUAAAUGGAGGGGAGUUUGAUCUGCCACAAAUCAUUUUGGCAAAUUAUGGUCUUUUCGACACUUAAAGAAUUUGUUUUAUAUCAUUUUUAUAUGUUUUUUAUUUCAUUUUCGAUUUUUAUUAUCUUAAGUUUAAUUUAUGCAAAAUAAGUGCUUUACGCAAUUUUGAGUUAUGUUAUGACCUAAUGGGCCACUAUGGGCCUAGGGAUGAUCUAACAACUUUAUCUAGUGUGUAGGACAUUCUUUUUGGGCUUAGAAGAUGAAGGAAUACUGUAGCGUCGUGACACCAAGGAGUGGUGUUGCAACACCAAACUCUGAAUCCAAAAUACCCAAAAAAUGAAGGUAGUGUCGCAACACCAAGUAACAAGAUGAAAUUUUAAUUAAAGGUAUUUUAAUCCACACAAUGUAACUUAAUCAGAUUUUUGGGUUGUUUAGUAACACUAAUUUGGUCUGAUUAUAAACUCUAUAAAUAGACAUUUCAAGUCUCCUAAGGAGGCGUGAUCAAGUGAGUUAUUUAAUUAUUUUAGGGUUUUACUUUAGUUUUUAUUUUCCUUUCAAUUUAGUCUUUUACAUACUUUUUUUCUUGUUUAAAUUAGAUUCAAUUUUGAUCCAAGACUUUAAUAUAAUAGUUUUUUUUGUUAUUUUGUUGUUGAUUCCAAUUGCAAUCGAAGUGGUCUUUGUGACUGUUAAAGGAAAUUUCAUUUUCCAGCACAAAUCAAGAUCAAAACGAACUUAUUUCUCUAUUCCUUACUUUUUAUUUAAUUUGUUGCCUUGCAUGUUAAAUAUGAAUUUAGGGAUUAUUGCAUCUAGAUCCAUGAGUAGCCGAUUUCCUUAGGGAUUUUAAUGAACGAAUGCGUGAAUAAUUAAUGGAUGAAUAAGGGUUGAAAUACGAGUUAGUUGGUUUAAAUUAUGUGGGAUUAAACCCUAGAAAAUGACGCCUCUAAGAAGUAAUUUAGGAUAAAUGAGAUCGAGAGAUACAUUUACUGAAUAAAUCAUAAUUUAUCUUGGUCAAGAAAGUGAGGCUGAGAGGUAAGCGUGUAUAGGUCGAUUAGUUAAUUAGUUAAAGACUGAGAGGUAAUAAUUAGUUAAUAAAUAGCUAACUCGAUAGAACUCGAAUUUAGAAGUUAAUUAGGACCAUUGAAGUGAGUUCAUCCUCUGCUUGUUUUACUAGAUUUAUUUCGAUUGUUAUUUGAUUGAUUAUAUUUUUAGAUAAAUUUUAUGUUAGUUUAAUUAAUCCAAUUUAAUUUGGUUUUAAGUAAUAUAAUUUUAAAUCAGUACUAUUUAGCCCUAUUAGUGUAGAGAGUUAAUUUAGGUUUAAUUCAACCUCCCUAUUAGUGUAUUAUCCUCAAAAUGUUUCCCAAAGUGUUUCAUUGUAACACUGAUCUAUAUUGUAAUAUGACUCGUAUAUUUGUGAACAUCACUUUUUAAUUAUUUAUCUAUUUUGUUGCAUUAUUUCCAGUCCAAACUUUUGCACAUCUGGCGGUGGCCAUCUCCCUUAUAUCCCCCAAGACUCCUCGAGAUUGACCACUCGACUUGUAACAACCCAUUUUUCAGUGGUAUCAAAAAUGACAGUUUUGAAACCCCAUUUUCAUUUUUUAUGUAAAUAUUAUUAAUUAAUAUUUACAAGGUUAGUAUAAAAAUAUAUUGAAUUUUAGACUUGUGAUUUUUUCGAAUGGAUUGUUAAUUAAGGUAUAAAGAUUAAAUUGUAAAAAUCUUGAAACGAAAAACUCAAAGAGAAUUUAUUAACUCAAAAGAGAAUUUGUUGAAUAAUAAUGAAUUGAUUGAAUGUGCACAAUGCAAAGGUUUUUUAUAUAGACUAUGUAACGCCUCGAUUUUUGGGCCUGGAAGUAUUGGGCCUUGAGUCUGGGUUCGGGUGGGAAAUGGCCCGAAUAAUUUGGAUGUUAGUAUUAUUUUGUAUGUUUAGUUUAGUAAUUAAAUAAAUUACGAAGGGUUGAUGGUGUGGGAAAAAAAGGCCCAAGAGUAAAUUUAAUUCGAGGCAAUUCCUGAAUUUUAAUUUUGGGAGAGAGGGUUCUGGCGAUAUGGGCUUUUAAAGUUGAGGUGGUAAAAUAGGACAAAAAUAAGGCCUUGGUAAAGUGGUAAGGUGGUGCCACUAAGUUCCUAAAAAAUAGCGUUUGGGAAGGAAUUAAAGGUCCAGGGUUCAAGUUGCAAGGUAGGCAUAUUGUUAUUUUUUUAGGCAUGUGUCGGGCAUGUGAUCACUUAAGUGAAUUUCAGCAAGGGCCUUAGAGAGGUUGGGCCGAUUGUUUUAGUUGAUAUUAGGGUUAGGUUCUUUUCUUUUUCUGUCUUGAAGAAUUAGGGUUAGCCACCUGAAAGCUUUCACUGUCAUUCAUCCUUUCUGAGUUCUCACAAAAGCCAAAAACACAAAUUCCUUCUCCUUGAUGCUGAUUUCUUCUUCCUCUCUUUUUCCUCCAUUUUAUUUCUUCCUUUUUACUUUUUCUUCUAGCCGAAACCUUCUGAUCACCUUACUCACCUCCUCUGUCAAUCCCAUCCUCCACAAAACCUCCAUAGCUGAUUGCCAUAAAAGCCGAAAUCCCGAAAACUCACUUCUUGUGUCGAUUUCUCCAAGCCAAAAUCCUUCAGUUAUUUUUGUUAUUUUUGAUCAACUUUCAUCUUCUAUAAACCCUUAGUAUCUGCCAGCAACAUUACUUCAAAGUUAUAGCCUCAAAUCGUCAUCUUCUUCGUCACUUAAAAAGCCGAAAUACCAUAAGUUUAGGGACUUAUAGCCGAAACUUCAAAUCUCCUGGAUUCGAGUUCUACUAUCGUUUAGAGGAUAGAACUGUAUUAUAUCUGCGUAGAAAUCAAAGAGGAUUAAGUGGUAAGUGCUCGUCACCUCAGAUCUAGUCUUAUUUUACAAUUUAGAAAAGCCGAAGUCCCUAAAAUCUAGGGAGGCUGUCGAUUUGGGCAUAGGGCUUUAAGGGUCUUUAACCGACGAUUUAUUUUGGUGAUUAAUGUCUUCUAGAGAUUUGAUCGAAGGCUUGGAUCUUUGGAGCAACUAGACUUGGACCUAGUCAUCGGUUUUCGGCAAAAAGGUAAGAUUUUAAAGGGUUAGGGGCAUGGUUCGAAUAUGGGUAGGUGAAUAUUGGGAUUGGUUGUUGUGGGUUGCAAUCUAAGAAUUGUGGUAAUCAAUUGUAGGACAUCGUAAGGGAUCUCAGUAGUAGUCGUUGCGAAAUAGGUGUGUAUCGAACACCCUCUCAUAGUUCAAUUUGGCAAAAGCCGAAAUGCCGAAAUUCCGGCAUUUCGUGGGCUUGUGAGUAUGCGAGUGCUCACAAGAUGUUUAGAAAUCAUUAGAUCUAAAAUCGCAAAGUGGUAAGUUAGUUGUGUGUGAAAUUUCGUACACUUCGGUAAUUGGGCCUCGAUAGGCUAAAAUUGGGCCCUAUGGGCUUACGGGCCUAUAUGGGUAGAAUAAUAAAAAAAUAGACAAUAAGUAUGUUCUGUUAGACUGUGGAAUUGAAACUGCUUAAACCGGUAAACUGGUCAUAAAACUUGAAUUGAAUGGGCUUAAAUUGCUAGUGGACACUGUAGGGCCCAUUAGGGGUUUUAGGGCCUAAUAGCUAAAAUUGGGAAAUUGAGAUAAAUAAAUUAUUGUGAUGACAAAUGGGCUAGUAAGGACAGUAACAUUCGUGAGAACCCUUAAAACUGAUAAAAUUACUGAAAUACCUUUAUAGGUGGAAAAUUUACAGAUUUACCCCUAGAAGCAAAAUUACUGAUAUACCCCUAGGGUUAAGGUUGACCUAAAUGCAUGUUUGACUGUUACUAUUUACUGCAUGCCAUGUUAUUAUUAUCUGAUGCAUGGGACUAGGUUAUUGAUGGAGGAAGUACUGAGAGUGGCUUGUCCACGUACUGGAGGCUUUGCCUCAACUUACUGAUAUCUGAGAACCAAUGCUGCAACUGUGGAGUGUAGGGUUGGGUAGGUUGAGCUAUUCCCUACAUGGAAUGUAGGGCUGGUACGGGUGGAGUGUAGCGGUUGGUUAUUGGCUGGGUUGGGCUUGCAUACACGAAUAUGUCUGUUCUGUUCUGGAAUGGGCCUAUGGGCCAUACUGUUAAUUGAAAAGGGGCUAAGGCCCAGUUUACUGUAUUCUGAAAAUGGCUUCGGCCCAGUAGCCACUGUUAUCUUAAUAGGGCUUAGGCCCAAUGGGCUUGAGCUGACUUGGGCUUUGGAUGGGUUUUCCAUACACACUGAGUUUUCCAAACUCACCCCCUUUCUCUUCCAUUCUUGCAGGUGAGCCCUAGUUGGUGGACUUGGAGUUGGGCGGGAUUCAGAGUGGCCACGAAGAUUAAAUUUCUGGUUUUUAAAUAAGUUUCAAUUAGCUUCCUUUUAAAUUUCGCAUUUAUUUUUGAUUAUUCCUAUUUUGGUUAAAGUUGUAAUAAGGCCGCUCUAUUAUUUUUAUUUUGGGUUUUUAAAUUACUUAAAUCAUUUUCAACUUGAGAUUCACAUCACUUAAAUUGAUUCCUUAAAAUUGGAUAGCCCUAGGGCGCGUUUUAUAAAAGUUACUUAGUUUCAAAAUAUCACGAUAAUCGAGCAAAGCUUCCGCAACGUAAAUGUUUUCAAAAGAAAUAAAUAUUUUAAAUAGACUUAAACUUAAUUUGUUGUUCAUGGACAAGUGAUAAGCUUAAAGUGUGGAAAUGGAUGUGUGCAUGUCUAGGAUUGGAUCAUGGAAGAGCUAGGUACUUAAGCAGUCUAAUUGACUCACCUCCUCUUUUCUUGAAUCCUACCUAGUGCGUAGAUUCCAUUCACUUUAAUUUAAAACAAAAAUAUUCUUUAAACAUUAAGAAAGAUUUUAGAUAAAACAUGACUUCUCUAAUAACGCUUCAAUGUGACACGCCAGAUUCGAUCGUAACGUCUAGGCCGGGUUUGGGGUGUUACAGACUAGCUAAAUAAAUCUAAAUAAAACUCUUAAGUAUACUAAAACUCUAAUUAACCUAAACAAGAAGUAGUUUUAAACUAAACUUUCUUGUUAACAUAAAACUCCUAAAUAGCUUAAAAUACUUAAUAAUUAUAAAAAAUUUGGAAUAAAAAAUAAUUAAAAAAAAAAGAACUGAUAAAUGCAAUAUUGGGCUCAUAUAUAAUAAAAAUUAAACCAAAAACCCAAACCCAAUAUGAUUUAAACUCAAAUUAUAAGUUCAAAACUCGUAAUUUCUAUAAUAAUCCCGUCUAGAAAUUUUACUUGCUUAGUUUUUACUAAAAUGGUCAUAAUUUGUGUUCCUGAACUCGAAAUUAAAUGAUUCAAAGUUUUUUUUGAAGUUAAGAGAUAGAUCUUCAAACAGUAUGCAAACAUCUUAAUCUAGAAAUGUCUGGAUCCCACCAAAAAAUUGUCGCAAGUUGACUAAUCUUUUUAGCUAGAAAAUUGACAAGUUGGUUGAUUUGACUUUCAUACAUUUCACCCAUUUUGUGUUUGUAUCAUUCCUCAUUUCCUCAAAAAGAUUCAUCCUCACAUACUGGCUUUGGUCAAAUCUUAGUUUGAUUUGCUUGACCUUAGUCCUUGUUGUUGGGCCUUGAGCUAGUGUAAGCCAAUCACAUCCAUGAAAUCUACUUGCUAUAUGUUUAAACUCACAUGUAUCAUGGAUAGACCUACUAAAUUGUGAGUUUGAUAGUACUUGUAUAGGCUUUUACUAAGCUUAUAGUCUUGGUAAUGACAUUAUGCAUAUUUUAUAGUUUAUGCUAAGGAAAUAGUAAGUUAUGUUUGAGUUUAUACGAGCUUACUAAGCACUCGUUGCUUACAUAGUUACUUUCCUUUUUUUAUAGAUUAUCGAAAGCUCGAUUGGUUGAAAGCUUGUUGGGGAUCAAUCACACUAUCCAACAACCAUUUGGUAGUUUUUGAGUAAUUUUUCCAAGGUUAUAUAUGGCAUGUAUAGGACCUUUUUGUAAUGGUAUUUCUUGAAUAUGUAAUGGAUGUUUUGGUAUGCAUAUGCUUUGAAGUUUGUGUUUGGUUUGAUGGACUUUAAUGCCUUACCAAGUUAGGUCAUUUUGGCCACUUUAAAGUGCUUGUAUAUAAUAUCAUUUUUGGCAUGUUUGUGAUGGCAUGUAAAUGGUCAUAUGUGAUAUCAUUUGAUAGACAAAAGAACUAGGUUUUAUGCUUGAAGUGUGGUUAUGUUUCUUUGAUUUGAUUAAUGACGUUUUGACACAAUUGUGGUCCCUUUGAAUGGCAUAUUGGUUAGAUGGAUUAGGAUGUUUGAAAUGGUAUGUUUAGGUAUAUUUGAAUGAUGUUUAAAUCUCUUGAAUGUGUGCACAAAUGGGAUGGUUGAUUAGGUGUGUUUUGACCAUGAAAUGACUUGAUUUUAGAGUCAAAUUAUGAAUCACAUGGCCUAGGACAUGGGUUGUCACACGACUAUGUGACACACACAGGUUGCGACAGACCGUGUAAGCCAAUUCAGGGAGUUACCCAGGUGGAGACAUAAGCUGGGACAUGGCUGUGUGUCCCUUGGUUCGAUUGUUACAUGGACUAGGCUAUGUCACAUGACCUAGCCAUACGGCCGUGUGACCUCUGUUUUCAAAUUUUGAAUUUUUUUCCCAAAUCUUCUGUUUUGUUUCAAAUUAGUCUCGAAUUGCUUCUAAGAUAUUUUUAGGGCCUCAAAGGAUAGAUUUAGGGACCAAAUGCAUAUGUUUGAUUGGUUUUUAAUAAGAUUAACUUAUUUAAUUUUAUGAUGUAAAAUUUUUUUGGUUGUUUAGAAUGCUCUGUAACCCUGAUUUGAUGAUGAAGACAGGUUAAGGGUGUUACAUUUAGUGGUAUAAAAGUUAUAGUUUAGUUGGUUCUCGAACUAAACGUAACAUGUAUGGAGUCAAGAAAUACAUGCCAUUAUAUAACCUGUGAUAGUGUGAUAUCUCUUGACUCAAAAUGAAUUAUGUUUUCAUAUAGAUAAAAGAUGUCAUUCAACCAAGCUAAUUCCGAUGAGGUUGAUAGUAAUGCGUAAGCCUCCAUUCAUAGAGCAACUAGUAGUGGGUCCGUAGCUGAGGGCCUAGGAAGUAAGGUGAAAGAAGCCUUUUUCCAAAUGAUGUCUGAGUGGUUAUCUGAAUUCUCUAGAAUGAACCCAAUAGCUCAAAAACCUCCAACCCUCCCGUACCCCAACUUUUCCCCUUUAUUCCUCACGGUUUGGAACAAGUAUGCGUAAGUAAGCCUCCAAUUAAUAAAAUUUGUAAGUAUAGGGUUGAAGAGUUUCGUAAACCAGAUGAAGACAAUCCUGAAAAAGCUGAGUUUUGGUUAGAAAAUACUAUGAGGGUUUUUUAUGAACUGUCUUGUUCUCUCGAUGAAUGUUUAAAAUCUGCAGUAUCUCUAUUGAAAGACUCAGCAUAUCAGUGGUGGAAUACUUUGAUUGUGGUGGUGUCAAAAGAUCAUAUAAACUGGGAUUUCUUUCAAACAAAAUUCAGGAAGAAAUAUCUUAGUCAAGGAUAACUCAAAAAAAACUAAAAAGAGUUCCUUGAGUUAAAAUAGGACCAUAUGACUGUAGUCGAGUAUGAAAGAAAGUUCGUGUGACUUAGCAAGUAUGCUCGAGAAUGUAUACCAUCAGAGGUUGUUAUGUGUACCCAGUUUGAAGACAGUUUAAAUGAAGAUAUCAAACUAUUAGUUGGGAUUCUAGAAUUGAGAGAAAUUAUGGUUUUGGUAGAUCAAGCACAUAAAGUGGAAGAACAUAGUAAAGCUAAAAGAAAGGCAGAUUCUAAGGUUCGUGACACUGGUAAAUAACCUAAGGAAAAAUCAUUUUCUUCUCCAUCAAAAAAAUCAAAGAAAUUUCACAGUCGUUCAUCAGCUUCAGUAGGAUUUUUAGGAAGAGACAAAAGGAAGCAACAUUCAAAUUCACGACCUUAGGCUACUUCUGUAGGUAGUUCGAAAUAAUAAACUUGAAUGUCAACAGUGCAAUAGGCGACAUUUCAGGGAGUGCAGAUUGAGAGAUGGAUCGUGCUUCAAAUGUGGUUCCUAUGACCAUUUCCUUCAAGACUGUUCUAAAAGAUAUGAUAGAGAGAAAGAUCAGAACACUCGUUCGAGUAACACAGUUGCGAACGGGAGACCAUCCAAAAAUAGUGGUAAUGCGGGUAAUAGUUGAAGUGGAACAAAAGAUUCUACAGUUAGAUCUGGGGCUCGAAUACCAGCUAGGGCAUAUGCAUUUCGAGCUCGAGAGGAAGCUUUGGCACCUGAUGUGAUUACCUGUACAUUUUCUAUUUUUGAUACUAAUGUUAAUGAUAUGAUUGACCCGAGAUCAACACACUCAUAUAUUUUCACAACCUUAGUGUCGGAUAAGAUAAUACCUUAUGAGUUAAUUGAAUUUGUGAUCAAAGUAACGAAUCCUUUAGGUCAGUAUGUGUUAGUUGAUAAGGAUUGUAGAAACUAUCCCCUGGUAAUUCAGGAUUGCAACUUUCCAGCUGGUUUGAUGCUAUUACCAUUUGAUGAGUUCGAUGUAAUUCUUGGUAUGGAUUGGUUGACUCUGCAUUAUGUUGUUGUGAAUUGUAGACAAAAGCAAAUUGUGUUGAAAUGUCAGAAUGAUGAAAUGAUCUAGGUUGAAUCUAAUAAGUUUGAUGGUACAACUAAUAUGAUUUCAGCUAUGUUAGCUUAGAAAUAUGUUAGAAAGGGUUGUGAGACAUAUCUAGAUUAUAUAUUUUAUUCCAGGGCUUCAGAAUUGAAAUUAGAGUCAGUUCCGACUGUUUGUGAAUCCUCGGAUGUGUUCCUAGAAGAGUUACCAGGGUUACCACCAGUCAGAGAGGUUGAAUUUGCUAUUGAUUUAGUACCGGGAACUUCUUUGAUAUCGAUAGCACUGUAUAGAAUAGAAUGUCCAAAGUUGAAAGAGUUGAAAGCACAGUUGCAAGAAGUAAUAGACAAAGGAUUUGUUCAGCCUAGUUUUUCUCCCUAGGGUAUUGCUUCCAGAAUGAGCCAAUAGGGAAGGCUCCGAUGUUUCUCAAUUUCUUUCAUGUUUGUUAAGAAAAAGGAUAGGUCAAUGCGAUUAUGUAUCAACUAUAGACUGCUUAACAAAGUUACGAUAAAGAACAAGUAUCCUUGACCAUGUAUUGAUGAUUUGUUUGAUCAGCUGAAAGGUGCGAUAAUGUUUUCAAAGAUUGAUCUCCGUUCUGGAUAUUAUCAGUUACGAGUUAAAGAUUUGGAUGUGCCAAAAAUUACUUUUAGAACCAGGUACGAACAUUAUGAAUUUUUAGUUAUGUCAUUUUGUUUAACCAAUGCACCUAAUUUGUUUAUGGAUUUGAUGAACAAAAUAUUCUGACCAUAUCUAGACAGAUUUGUAGUUGUAUUCAUUAAUGAUAUUCUGAUCUAUUCCUGAGAUGAAAUUGAGCAUGCAAAGCAGUUGAGAGUAAUUUUGCAGACUUCAUGUGAGAAAUAGUUAUUUGCUAAGCUUAGCAAGUGUGAGUUCUGUCUUCAAGAAGUUGGAUUUUUGGGACAUGUUGUAUCGGCAGAUGGUAUUAGAGUGGAUUUGAGUAAAAUAUCAGCUAUAGUAGACUAGAAACCUCCGAGAAAUGUUUCAGAAUUGAGAAGUUUCUUGGAUUUAGUUGGACAUUAUUGAAGAUUUGUAAAAGGAUAUUCAAUGAUUUCUACACCGUUGACAAGGCUAGUCCAAAAAGAUGUCAAGUUUGAAUGGUCAGAAAAGUGUCAGCAAAGUUUCGAACAGUUGAAAGUGUUGUCGACCGAAGCCCCUAUGGUGAUUCAGCCAGAGUCUGGCAAGGAAUUUGUGAUUUAUAGUGAUGCUUCAUUGAAUGGUUUAGGCUAUGUUUUGAUGCAAGAAGGUAAAGUGGUAGCUUAUGCUUCCCAUCAGUUGAAACCACACAAGAAAAUUACCCGACUCAUGAUUUAUAGUUUGUAGCUAUUGUAUUUGCUUUAAAGAUUUGGCGACAUUUUUUGUACAGAGAGAAAUGUCAUAUCUUCACGGAUCAUAAAAGCAUGAAGUAUCUGAUGUCACAAAAAGAAUUAAACUUGAUAAAAUGUAUAUGGUUGGAGCUGCUAAAAGAUUACGAUUUCAUCAUUGAUUAUCAUCCAGGAAAAGCUAAUGUUGUUGCUGAAGCUUUAAAUAGAAAAUCUUUGUUUUAUUCGCAAAAUUUGAAUACUUAGUUGACAUUCAUUGAUGAUGGUUCUACUGUAGUAGAGAUAAAAGCUAAACUGAGAUUUCUGCUGUAACAUCCUUCAUAGAUGAGCUCAUCAAUUCAAACAUGACUAUUCCCAUUUCACGUUUUAAUCCCGUCAAAUUUCUUAGAAUCUCGAUGGAUAUCUCGUUUACCAUCAAAUCAUGCAAGUGAUCUUUUAAAUACGCACUCCCGUGAACCUCACUUUUAUGGCGGGAUUAUCAGUCUAGGCUAAAUCCCCCACAACGUAACUCAAAGAGUAAAGUCAGGAUUACCAGUCCAGGCUAAAUCCCUUACAUUGACAUAUACUCCUACGAGUUCAGGUCUGAAUUACCAGUCCAGGCUAAAUUAAGAUCCUAUUCGGAUUACCUGUCCGGGCUAAAUCUGUCAAAGCACACAUAUUCUUCGGGAUGCUAGAUCACUAUAGGAUCACCCGUCCGAGCUAGAUCCUUUAUACCUUUAUUUCAUUUUCGAGUAAUCCAUUAGACAUCCUUUUUUAUUCUACCGUGACAUUUCAUCAUAGCAUUAAUAAUUCAUGAGUUGUCAUACAGUAAAUAUUACUAUUAUAAUUCAUACAUGUACAUACAUCUUUAAUGUAUUUAAAGAUAGUCUACAUUCGAAUUACACGAACUUACUUGAUAAUUGCUUGGUUUCGUAAUUCAGCUAUUCCGAAACAUUUCAUUUUCCACGAUCAAUCUCUAAAAUUGGUUCCUCGGGGUCUAUAUCAGUACAAAUAAAUUAUUAAUACCUCAUGCUAUUUAUUUCAAACCUAAAAUUUACCCCUGGGCAAAAUGACCAUUUUGCCACUAACAUUUCAAAAUUUUACAACUUAGUCCCUAGGCUCGUAAAAUGAAAUACAUGCAAUUCCUUGGUUACCCAAGCCUAGCCGAAUGUAUUAUAAACUCAUACUAGCCCACAUUUUCCUCUAUUUCACAUUUCUACCACAUAUUUUGUACCUUUUGCAAAAAGGUCCUUUUAGGGGUUUUUCAUGAAAAUCACUUAGGAAAAGAUGUUUAAAACACAUCUAACUUUCAUAUUCCCCAAUAAAUCAUCAAAGAAAAAACAUGUCACACAUGGUUCAUUUUGCAUACAUGAACCCUAGCUUAAAAUAAGGGUAGAAAUGGAGAGAACAUGUUUCAAGGAUCUAAAAAAUACAAAGAAUAUUAAAAACGGGGCUAGGAGUCACUUUCUAUUGAGCUUGGAAAGUGAAGAAACCUAGCUAUGGUGUCCCUUAGAAUUUCAGCAGCAAGAGAGAGAAGAAUGGUUGAUUUUUCCCUUCAUUUCCCCUUUUUUAUUGAUUUUAUUACCAAAUGACCAAAAUACCCUUCCUUACUAAACUUCCAAAAAUUUCCAUGCAUGCCCAUUUUUGUCCAAAAACUUAAAAAUUGGGAAAAUUACUCUUUAAGACCUUUUAAUUAAUAAUCUCAAGCAAUUUCGUGCAAAUUGCUUCUAAAAUCCAAGUUUUGCAAUUUAUUUAAUUUGGUCCCUAAUUUCCAAUUGGACACCUUACAUUAAGAAUUCCUUCAUGAAACUUUAACACAUGCUUACUUUCAAAUUCUAGGCCUCAUAAUAAUCAUAAAAUAAAUAUUUUUACAUUGGAUUUGUGGUCUCGAAACCACUAUUCUGACUAGACCUAAUUUUGGGAUGUUACAUUUCUUCCCCCUUAGAGACUUUCGUCCUUAAAAGUCUUACCAGUAAACAGGUUCGGAUAUUGACUUCUCAUGGUUUCUUCAGGUUCUCAUGUGGCUUCUUCCACUCCGUGUCUAUGCCAUAGAACUUUUACCAAGGCUAUAUUAUUGUUCCUUAAUUGUUUGACUUCUCGAGCCAAAAUUUUUAUCGGUUUUUCACUAUAGGUCAUGUCUGGUCUAAUCUCAACUUUCAUCGGUGAAAUCAUAUGUGAGGGAUCUGAUCUAUAUCUAUGUAACAUGGACACAAGGAAAAAAUCAUGAAUCUUUUCUAAUUCGGAUGGCAAUGCUAAGCGGUAGGCUAAUGGUCCAACUUUCUCAAUAAUCUCGUAAGGUCUAAUAAACCUUGGACUCAAUUUGCCUUUCCGGCCAAAUCUUAAAACUUUUUGCCAGGGAGAAACUUUCAAGAAUACUUUAUCUCUAACUUGAAACUCAAUCUCUUUCCUUUUCAAAAUGGCAUAUGACUUUUUCCUAUCCGAUGCCGCUUUCAAACAAUUGCGGAUCACUUUAACCUUUUCUUCAGUUUCCUUGAUUAAAUUAACCCUAUGAAUUUAGUGUUCCUUAAGUUCCGUCCAAUACAAUGGAGUCUGGCACUUUCGGCCAUAUAACGCACUUUCAGCCAUAUAACGCCUCAUAAGGUGAUAUUUAAACUCGUCUGAAAACAGUUAUUGUAGGCGAACUCCACCAAUGGUAAAUAUUUUUCCCAACUACCCUGAAAUUCAAGGACGCAGCACCGUAACAUAUCCUCAAGGGUCUGAAUCGUCCGCUCAGACUAGCCAACGGUUUGUGGGUGGAACACCAUACUAAAACUUAACUUUGUACCCAAGGCUUCUUGUAGUUUCUUCCAAAAUCUCGAAGUGAAUCUCGGGUCUCUAUCUGAAAUGAUCGACAACGGUACCCCGUGUAAUCUCACAAUCUCGGAUAUGUAUAAGUCGACCAAUUUAUCAAGAGAGUAAUCUGUCCGUAUAGGAAUAAAGUAAGCUGACUUCGUUAGUCUAUCCAUUACAACCCAAACAACAUCUUUCUUUUCCGGGGUUAACGGUAGUCCAGUCACGAAGUCCAUGGUGAUCCUGUCUCAUUUCCAUUCGGGAACCAUUACAUGCUAUAAUAAACUUGAAGGCACUUGGUGUUCAGCCUUGACCUGCUGACGUAUCAAGCAUUUCGACACAAAUUCAGAGAUAUCUCUUUUCAUACCAUUCCACCAGUACAUAGUCUUUAAAUCAUUGUACAUCUUGGUACUUCUCAGGUGAAUUGACAGACGACGAUUAUGUGCCUCUUGCAAAAUCAUCCGAAUAAGCUCAUCAUCUUUGGGUACACAGACCCUAUCUCGAAACAUUAAACAACCAUUAGAAUCAAUCCGAAAAUCUGUUUCGACUCCCAUUUCACAUUGUCCUAUUUUGACUUGCAAGUCACUCUCAUUGAUCUAAGCUACGCAAACCUCUUGGAGAAAUGUCGAUCUAGCUCUCAACCCCGCCAAAACCAAACCAUCAUCAAAUAACGCCAAAUGCGUGUUCAUAACCUUUAGAGCAAACAAGGACUUUCUGCUCAACGCAUUAGCGACUACAUUCACCUUACCAAGAUGGUAAUCGAUCACAAGCUCAUAAUCCUUAAUCAACUUUAGCGACCUUUGUUGUUUCAGAUUCAAUUCCUUUUGAGUCAUCAAGUACUUCAGACUCUUGUGAUCGGUGAAUACACGGCAAGUUUCACCAUAAAAAUGGUGUCUCCAAAUUUUUAAGACAAAUACAAUAACAGCUAGCUCCAAGUCAUGACUCAGAUAAUUUUUCUUGUGUGGUUUUAGUUGCCUCGAGGCAUAAGCUAUCACUUUGCCCUCUUGCAUAAGCACACAACCCAGUUCAUUUAAGGACGCAUCGCUGUAAAUCACAAAUUCUUUUCCCGGUUCAAGUUGUACCAAAACUAGAGCUUCUGUCUGUAAUGUCUUCAAUUUAUCGAAACUUUACUGACAUUUUUCUAACCAUUCAAACUUAACAUCCUUUUACAGUAACCUCAUCAAGGGAGUUGCAAUCAUCGAGUGUCAGUAAUAAUCGGCUAAGCCCAAAAACUUCUAAUCUCUGCUACGUUCUUUGGCGGCUUCCACUCGACAAUAGCAGAAAUUUUAUUUGGAUCAACUUGGAUGCCAUCACCCGAUACAAUAUGAUCGAGAAAUCUAACUUCUUGAAGCCAAAACUCGCUAUUGCCAAACUUAGCAUAGAGUUGCCUAUCCCGUAAAGCCUGUAAAAUAGUCCUCAAAUGUUCAGCAUGUUCAGACUCAUUCCGGGAAUAGAUCAAAAUAUCAUCUAUGAAUACUACUACAAACUUGUCCAAGUAUGGCCGAAAUACACGAUUCAUUACAUCCAUAAAUGCAGCUGGGGUGUUUGUCAGACCAAAAGGCAUGACAAAGAACUCGUAGUGAGAUACCUUGUCUUGAAGGCAGUCUUAGGCACAUCUGCCUACUUAACUCGUAAUUGGUAGUAGCCGAAUCUCAAAUAUUGUUUUUGAAAAUACGGUGGCUCCCCUCAACUGAUCUAACAAGUCUUCAAUCCUAGGCAAAGGAUACUUAUUCUUAAUAGUCACCUUAUUGAGUUGUUGGUAGUCUAUGCACAACCUUAUCGAUCCAUCUUUCUUUUUCAUGAAUAAAACAGGAGCACCCCAAGGUGAAGAGCUCGGUCUUGUAAAACCUUUGUCAGUCAAUUCUUACAACUAUGAUUUUAACUCCUUCAACUCAGUAGGGGAAAUUCUGUAUAGAGUAAUAGAAAUAGGCAUCGUUCCCGGUACUAGCUCCAUACCGAAUUCCACCUCUCUAACAGGAGGUAACCCUGGUAACUCUUCUGGGAACACAUUCGGAUAUUCGCGGACUAUCAGUACCGACUCAAUCUUCAAUUCAGAUUCUUGAGUAUUCAAUAUGAACGCAAGGUAAGCUUCAUAUCCUUUCCUUAUAUACCUUUGAGCCAUCAUUAAAGUAAUCACAGCCGACUGUGCAUUCAACUCAUUCGAAUCAACCCAGAGAAUGUCAUCAUCUGAACAUUUUAAUUCCAUGAACUUGCUACUGCAAUUUACUAUCACAUCAUGGACGGUCAACCAAUCAAUACCAAGUAUUACAUCAAAUUCGUCAAAUGGAAAAAGUAUAAGAUUUUCCGGAAAACAAUAUCCUUGGAUCUUCAAAGGACAAUUCUUACAAACUUUAUCUACUAAUACCGACUUGCCUAGAGGGUUCGACACCUUAAUUACAAAUUUUGUUGAUUCCACAAACAUGUUCAUGCUAGACACCAAUUUCAUGCAUAUGUAGGAAUAGGUCGAUCCCGGAUCAAUUAAGGCAAUGACAUGAGUAUUAUGAAGAGAAAAUGUACCCGUAAUGACAUCGGGAGUUGAAGCUUCCUCUAUAGUGCGUAUCACAUAAGUCCUCACCGGGGCUCGAGCCUCUAAUUUUGCAGUCGUAUCCUUGACAGCAAUUUGACUACCACUUGCACUUCCAGGAUGUCGUGGUGGUCUACCUCAAGGAUUAGGAACAUUAGACUUUGUGGCUAAAUCCACCUUUUUAUCAGCUCGUUCUGGGCAGUAUUUAAGGAAGUGAUCAAGGGAACCACAUCUACAACAUGCCCCACUCUUCAUUCGGCAUUCCCCAAAAUAAAACUUCUUAUAGAUCUUACAUCUCAACUUUUGAUCAUCUAUACUCCCCACACUAGUUACCUUAGGGGAAGAAGACCUUGGGUUGUGUCAUUCAGAGCUUCUUGUUUUGCCCGAAUAUCCCACUGAUACAGUGGAUCUUUCUUGUUGACUCUUCGAUUUCUUCGUAGGAAAAGAGUGCAUUCUGCCGCUAGAUCUCUUACUCAAAGCUCUAGCUUCUCCCUUUGCUCACUUUCUUUCAUUAUUCAGUUCCUCAGCCUUCUUGGCUCGAUCGGCUAACGUAGCCAACUCUCUUAUUUCAAGAAUCCCGAUUAACAGUUUGAUUUCUUUAUUCAGACCUUCUUCGAAUCGCUUACACAUUUCCGCCUCCGAUUGGACCCACUCACUUGCAUACUGACUUAGUCUCACGAACUCUCGUUCGUAUUCUGACACGAUUCUGUUUCCUUGUUUGGGUUCCAGGAACUUCUUCCACUUCUGGUCCAAGAACCUUUGGCUGAUAUACUUCAUCCUAAAUUCCGCUUGGAAGAAUUCCCAUGUGAUACUUUCUCUCGGGGCUACUGAGGAUACGAUCUUCCACCAAUGGUAUGUAGUGUCCUUCAAUAGUAACACCGUACACUUCAAACUUUCCUCAGAAGUACAAGACAGUUCAUCAAGAACUCUCAUGGUAUUCUCAAGCCAAAAUUCGACAUGUUUACAAUUCCACAAUCGUCAUCAAUUGUGGCCCUAAACUCUUUGGCUCCAUAUUUCCUAAGUUUUUCCACAGGGACCUUACCAAUUCUCACGGGUACCACACCUUGUGGCACUUCUCUUUCAGGUCGAGCAGGGGGUGGAGGAGGUCAUGGUAUAUUGGGGCAGUUUCUAAAAUAAUCCCCAAACCAUUCAUCUAUCAUCUGAAAGAAGGCAGCUCUUGCCUGUUCUUGGCCUUCAGACACAGGCUUCUACUACUACUAGCAGUAGCUUAAUGAACGGCAGUUGGAUCAUGGCUCUCGGCUCCCUCAGACUCAUCUUGAGCUUGAUUGGAAAACAUUUACUAUAUUCAAAUACAAUUAAAAAUGGUUAGGAGAUGUCACACUAUCAUAACUUGUAUAAUGGCAUGUAUAGAUUACUCGACAUAUACUACGUUAGUCCUAGAACCGACUAAACCGUAGCUCUGAUACCACUAAAUGUAACAUCCUUCAUAGAUGAGAUCAUCAAUUCCAAUAUGUCUAUUCCCAUUUAACAUUUUAAUCACAUCGAAUUUCUUGGAAUCUCGAUGGAUAUCUCACUUACCAUCAAAUCAUGCAAGUGAUCUUUUAAAUACGCACUCCCGUGAACCUCACUUUUAUGGCGAGAUUACCAGUCCAAGCUAAAUCCCCCACAACGUAAAUCACAGAGUAAUGUCGGGAUUACCAGUCCAGGCUGAAUCCCUACAAUGACAUAUACUCCUACAAGUUCAAGUUUGAAUUACCAGUCCAGGUUAAAUUCAGCUCCUAUUCGGAUUACUAGUCCGGGCUAAAUCCGUCAAAGCACACAUUUUCUUCGGGAUGCUAGAUCACUAUAGGAUCACCCGUCCGAGCUAGAUCCUUUAUACCUUUAUUUCAUUUUCAAGUAAUCCAUCAGACAUCCCUUUUUAUUCAACCAGGAGAUUUCAUUAUAACAUUGAUAAUACAUGAGUUGUCAUACGAUAAAUAUUACUAUUAUAAUUCAUACAUGUACAUACAUAUUUAAUGUACUUAAAGAUAGUUUACAUUUGUGCAUGAGCUUACCUGGUAAUUGCUUAGGUUUCAUAUUUCAAUUAUUCCGAAACCUUUCGUUUUCCACGAUCAAUAUCCGGAAUCGAUUCCUCGGGGUCUAUAUCAGUAAAAAUAAAUUAUUAAUACCUCAUGCUAUUUAUUUCAGACCUAAAAUUCACCCCCGCGCAAAAUAAUCAUUUUGCCCAUAACAUUUCAAAAUUUUACAACUUAGUCCCUAGGCUCGUAAAAUGAAAUACAUGUAACUCCUUGGUUACCCAAGCCUAGCCGGAUGUAUUAUAAACUCAUACUAGCCCACAUUUUCUUCUAUUUCACAUUUCUACCACAUAUUUUGUACCUUUUGCAAAAAGAUCCUUUUAGGGGUUUUUCACGAAAAUCACUUAGGAAAAGAUGUUUAAAACACAUCUAACUUUCAUAUUCCCCCAUAAAUCAUCAAAGAACAAACAUGCCACACAUGGAUCAUUUUGCAUACAUGAAACCUAGCUUAAAAUAUGGGUAGAAAUGGAGAGAACAUGUUUCAAGGAUCUCAAAAAUACAAAAAGCAUUAAAAACGGGGCUAGAAGUCACUUACUAUUGAGCUCAGAAAGUGAAUAAACCCUAGCUAUGGUGUCCCUUGGAAUUAUGGCACCAAGAGGGGGAAGAAUGGCUAAUUUUUGCCUUCAUUUCCUCUUUUUAUUGAUUUUAUUACUAAAUGACCAAAAUGCCCUUUCUUACUAAACUUCCAAAAUUUUCCAUGCAUGCCCAUUUUUGUCCAAAAACAUAGAAGUUGGGAAAAUUACUCUUUAAGACCUUCUAAUUAAUAAUCUACAGUAAUUUCAUGCAAAUUUCUUCUAAAAUCCAAGUUUUGCAAUUUAUUCAAUUUGGUCCCUAAUUUCCAAUUAAACACCUUAAACUAAGAAUUUCUCCAUGAAACUUUAACACAUGCUUAAUUUCAUAUUCUAGUCCUCAUAAUAAUCAUAAAAUAAAUAUUUUGACAUCAGAUUUGUGGUCUCAAAACCACUAUUCCGACUAGACCCAAUUUUGGGAUGUUACAUCUGCAGCAGAUUUGUGAAGCUCAGAAAACUAACUUAGAGUUGAUUGUUAAAUGGGAAAAGAUUGAAAAGAUAUCUGAUUUAGAAUUUCACAUUAGUUCUUAUGGUAUUUUGUAUUUUUGAAGCAUAAUAUGCGUCUCGAGGAAUUUUGACGUUGUUCAAAAGAUUUUAGAAGAAGCUCACAGUAGUAAUUUUUUCAUUCACCCUGGUAGUAAUAAAAUGUACGGUCAUUUGAAACAGAGGUACUGGUGGCUAGGUAUGAAACAAGAUAUUUCAGAGUUUGUAUCAAAAUGUUUGAUUAUCAACAAGUCAAAGCUGAGCAUCAGGUACCUUCUGGGUUAUUACAACCUGUGAUGAUUCUAGAGUGGAAAGGGGAACUAGUUACGACGGAUUUUGUAUCAAGGUUAUUAUUUUCUCCACAGAAGAAAGAUGUUAUAUGGGUUAUUGUGGAUCAUUUGACUAAACCUUCACAUUUCAUUCUGGUGCGAACAAAUUAUUCAUCUAACAAGUUUGUAGAACUAUAUGUUUUUGAGAUUGUUAGACUACAUGGUGUGCCAGUGUCAAUUAUCUCUGAUAAAGAUCCACGGUUUACUUCUCGAUUUUAGAGUAAAUUUCACGAAGCUCUAGGUGCUCAACUACAUUUCAAUAUAGCAUUUCAUCCACAAAAAGAUGGUCAAUUUAAGUGAGUAAUUCAGGAACUUGAAGAUAUGCUCUGUUGUUGUAUUUUAGAGUUUGAGGGUAGCGGGGAGAAAUUUCUUCCGUUGGUUAAAUUUGCAUACAAUAAUAGUUAUCAAGCAAGUACUAAAAUGGUGCCGUAUGAAGCUUUGUAUGGUCAAAAAUGUAGAACUCCAUUAUACUGGUCUAAACUGAGUGAGAAAAAGCUAUUCGAUGUUGAUUUGAUACGAGAAAUCGAAAAAAAAAAGUCAGAGUAAUAUGUGAUAGUUCGAAAGCUGCUUCUAAUUGUCUGAAAUCAUAUGCAGAUUUGUAAAGAAAAGACAUUGAAUUUCAAAUUGUCAACAAAGCGUUCCUAAAAGUAUUGCCUUGGAGAAAAGUUCUUCGUUUUGGUAAAAAAGUGAAGCUUAGUCCACAAUUCAUCGGUCUGUUUGGGAUCAUUGAGAGGAUUGGGCCAAUGGCUUAUCAUUUAGCUUUACCAUCUAAGUUGGAGAAAAUACAUAAUGUUUUCAUGUGUCGAUGUUGUGAAAGUAUCGAUCAAACCCUUCACAUGUGAUUUCACUAGUUGAUAUUGAGAUUCAACCAAAUAUGUCAUACAGUGAAGAACCGAUCAGAAUUUUAGCUCAGGAAGUUAAAAAGUUAAUGAAUAAAUGUAUAACAUUAGUUAAGUUUCUUUGGAAACAUCAUGAAGUCAAGGAAGCUACCUAGCUUUUGGGAACUGGAAGAAUCUAUGAAGGUGCAAUACCCGAACAUAUGAAAGUGCAAUACCCAAACAUAUUCUCUUGUAAGAUUUUUAGGGACGAAAAUUCCUUUAGGGAGAGAGAGUUGUAACAUUUUGUUUUCAGUGGUGUAAAAAAGAAUGGUUUUAAGACCACAAUUCUGAUAAGUUAGUUAUUAUUUUAAUAUUUAUUUAAUGUCUACAAGAUUAUUUUAAGGUCGUAUUAAAAUUUCGUUAAGAAAUUUUGAUGUUUAAAUGGUUAAUUAGGUAAAAAGGACGAAAUCGUAAAGGUUGCAAAAGUGGGUUUCUAUUAGUUAGAGGGGUCAAAUGGCUAUGAAAUCUUAGACUAAUGGACUAAGAUAGUAAUUAUAUCAUUUAAAGAGUUAGUGGAUAAAUAUGGACAAGGUUUACUUGAAUUUUUUUUAUCAUUAAUAAGGGUAAAAUGGUAAAAUAGUAAAUAAACAUAAAAUUAAAUAAGCUAAAAUCAUCAUCUUCCUCAUUUUGUGUCUCCAAAAUUGAUUCUUCCAUGAAAUCUUAGCUAAGGUUAAGUCAAGCUUUAUUUUCCCUUGCAUGGUAUGUAUUCAAGUCUCGUUUUUAAUGAUUUUUAUGUUUUUGAGUUAGUUUUAGCUUAAUCUAACUAGCAUGGGGGUUAAUUUGCAAAAUUUUUAAAGGUUGAUGGACUUGCCAUGGUUGUUUUUGAAUAGGUUUUGAAGUUAUUUGAUAGAUUAUUAAUCUUGAUUGUAAAAUAAAUAUGUUUUGUUAAGUGAUUAUUGAUGAAAUUGCAUUUAAGGAUUUAUUUGUGAAAAUAGUAAAAUUUCAUGGUAAAAUUAUGAAAUAAUGACUUAGGUGGGCUAGUAUGAGUCCCUAAGAAAUUCUGCUAGCUUUAAUGAAGGAUUAAAAUGGUUAAAUUUCAAAUUAUGAGCUUAAGAACUAAAUUGUGAAAAGUUAAAAUGUAAGGGGUAAUUUUGUAAUUUUACAUAAAUAUGAAUUAUGGAUUAAAUUGAAUACUAGAAGUACUUAAUUGAAUGAAUUUAUUUAUUUAGAUCAAGAUAAACAACAAUCAAACUUAAAUCAAGGAAAUACUAAGGCUACGGAUUAGUGUUCAACUCUACAUCUAUGACCAAAGUUAUCGAGGUAAGUUCGUAUGAAUUGUGAUUGUAUUAAUGAUUAGCUAAAUUGAUUGUUUACUAUGUUGUGUUAAUACAUCAGACUUGAAAUUGUAUACGUAUCAAUGUAUGAAUAAUUGACAGACAAUGAAUCCCGUUUGAACCUUAAGAAUUCUUAACAUAUGAAUGACAUAUCAUUAGGGAUUUCAUGUUUCGGGUGCUAGUCUUGAAUGUCCUAACGAUGGUUGAGAUCUUGCAUUUGUUGCAGAUUGUCCAUAGCUCGUCUGAGGAACAUCAUGCAGCAAACAUUCUAACUCACAGCUCGUGUGAGUAGGCCCAUUUCACAACUCGUGUGAGCACUAUUGAAAAGCAAAGGUUACGGUUAUAUGGAAAGACAUACUAUGUGUGAGCAUUCCCGAGUAUCAGAUGUAAUUCUAGAUGGUUCAAUGGGUAAGUAAAGGAAAUUGCAUGGUAAGUAUACAAAAGAAAUGGUUCAUGUUCUUAUGAAAGGGUUGAUGAAUUAAAUGAUGUGUAUAUGAAAUCUACUUACUAUAUGUUUAAAGUCAUAUGUGUCAUGGAUGGAGCUACUAACUUGUGAGUUUGAUGGUGCUUGUAUAGGCUUUUACUAAGCUUAUGGUCUUGCUAAUGACAUUAUGUAUAUUUUAUAGUUUGCGCUAAGGAAAUGGUAAGUUAUGUUUGAGUUUAUACGAGCUUACUAAGCACUCUUUGCUUACGUAGUUACUUUUCUUUGUUUUAUAGAUUAUCAGAAGCUCAAUCGGUUGGAAGCUUGCUAGGGAUCAAUCACACUAUCCAACAACCAUUCGGUAGUUUUUGAGUAAUUUUUCCAAGGUUAUAUAUGGCAUGUAUAGGACCCUUUUGUAAUGGUGUUUCUUGAAUGUGUAAUGGAUGUUUUAGUACGCAUAUGCUUUGAAGUUUAUGUUUGGUUUUAUAACACCUCUAACCCAUAUCCGUCACCGGAAUACGGUUACGAGGAAUUACCGGACUUAUACACUAGAGUUUAUACAAAACCGAGUCAUAAAUUUGUAUUCCAAAUCAAUUCUUUGCAAAUUUCAUCAUAAAGUCUCUAAUAUGGGUAUACAAGGCCCAAUACAUGCUUUGGAAGUGGUUCGGGAUUAAAUUGGGAACUUUGGAAAUUUUUCCUUGAAGAUAGGGGCACACGGCCGUGUGGAUAGCCUGUGGGGAUCCCAUGGCCGUGUGGCUAGCCCGUGUAGAAUUCUGACUUGCAAUUUCUUAAGUAUCAAAGGGGCACACAGCCUGGGCACAUGCCCAUGUGGCUAGGCCAUGUGGUAAACUAAUUUUUUACCUUUUUAAGUCAUUUUCACAUGAUUUUGACACACGACCAUGCUUGAAACUCAUGCCCUUCACACGACCAAUACACACGGCUGUGUCCUUUGCCCGUGUACUAGCCUAACUUCAUUUUUAAGGAUACAAGGGACACACGGUCAUUUCACACGCCCGUGGGCUGUCCGUGUGUCACACACGGCCUAGACACACGCCCGUGUGUCUUACCCGUGUGGACGAAAUAAGGCCAUUUCCUAGCCCUAUUUCUCACCCAAACUUAAUCAUUUUCCUGCAUAAAAACUUACAUACAUAUACCAGCCAAUUUAACCAAUUUCCAUCAUUCAAUCUAACAUUUCCAACUUUUAAACAUACCUUAAAGCUUACAUUUACAUUGGUUUGUAAAUCAUGUUUUAUGAAAGGUGAUUUGUAUCUUGUUAGACAUGAACAUACCAUAUUACCUCAAAAUACAUAUUAAUAGCCAUUCCAAUGGCUAGGUUGUAAACAAACAUAUUACCUUAUCAUUUGGCCUCAAAAGCUUAUACAUGCCAUUGUAACAAAAUAGAUUUAUCAUUUUUACCAAAAUGAAGGGAUUGAUAGUGUGAUGAUAGCUCCGACCCAAUUCCAACCUUCACGAGCUUUGAGCAUUAUAAAACAGGAAAAAUAUAAACCUAGUAAGCAUUAACGCUUAGUAAGUUCAUAUAACCAAACUACACUUACCAUUCAUAUAUAACAAGUAAAUCACAGAUAAGGCAAUUUAUCCAUCAAUUUAACAAACUAGCAAAUAUGGCCUAUACACAAUCAUUCAACCAAAUUUGUUAGUACAAAAACAUUAUUUUGCAUAGAUGAUCUCAUCAUGUCAUUUCUUAUUAUUUCACUUGUUAAUACAUUUCCGUUGAAUCUUUGAACUUCUGAUGGACCUUUCCUUUUCUAGUUGUGCACCCGAGGUGCACACUCCCUUUUCAAGUGGUACACAUGAAGUGUACAUACCCUUUUCAAUUUGUACACACAAAGUGUACAUAACCUUUUCAAGUGUACACAUAUAAUGUACUUUUCCUUUAUUAAGUGGUAUACACAAAGUAUACCUUUCCUUUUCGUAUGGUAUACACAAAGUAUACCUAACCUUUUCAAAUUGUACCAUUUGGGUACACAAAUCCUUUUCAAGUAUUACCCUUUCGGGUUACAUUUCUUUUUAUAAUGAGAUCAAAAGAUUAUCCCUUUCGGAACAACCUCUACUGCAACUUAUGUAGGAUCUCAUAUACACGGUAACCACCUGUCCAAUCAGAAAUCAAUAUUCAAACGGAUUCAUGUAAUAUUUCAUCAUUUACAUGUAAAUCACAAAUCAGCAUUGGUUUAUUACAUGUACAUACCAAUUACAAAACAUGAUACACAUGAUUCAACAAUCAAUUCAACAUAUUUACAUGCUUAAUUUAGUUAUACGAACUUACAUCAACAAUUGAUCGUAUCUACUAAUCUGAGACUCUUUCUUUCCCUCGAUUUUUUUCUUUCUUCGACACUUCCGGAUCUAUAUAAAUAAAUUUAAUCAUCAAUUCCAUUAUUUUUACAUUCAAUCAAGCCCAUUUCACAUUUUAGGCAAAAGUACCAUUUUACCCCUAAACUUUUAACUAAUUCCAAUUUCGUCCCUAGGCUCGGAAAUUGAAAUUCAUGCAAUUUACUCCUUAUUCAAAGCUUAUUCAAAAUUCCAAUAUAACUUUUACAGCACAUGUAUUUCAUAAAUUUUAGAAUUUUUCCAAGAAUUUCACUACUUUGCAAUUUAGUCCUACACAUGUUUUCACUAAAAAUCACUUUGUAAAAGUUGUUUAUCUAUCAAUAAUCUUUCAUUUUCUAUCAAAAAAUUUCAAUUUAAAGCAUAUUCAUCCAUGGGUAAUUUUCUAAACUUUGGUUUUCUUUUAAAUUAAUCACUCAAAUACAGAAAUUAAGCUUUCCCGAUCUCAAAAAUAUAAAAAUCACUAAAAACGGGACAUAGAACUUACCAAAUCAAGCUUGAGAAAUUUCCUUUCUCUCUCCUAGGGUUUCUAUGUAUUUUAUGAAGAAGAUGAUGAUAUAAAAUGGGUUUUUCUAUUUAAUCAUUUAUCAUACUUUAUUUAAUUCAAUUUCCAAUUUAAUCCUUAACCUUUUUCAAUUUUUCCAUAGAUGACUCAUUAAAAAUAUCUACAUAUUUUUCAUCAAUGGUCUAAUUGCCAUAUAAGGAAUUCUCACUUUGAAUUCCCUAGCUAUAUAAUCCCUAUAGCUAUUAGUAUGUAACUUUAACAUUUUAUUCAAUUCAGUCCGUUUUUGCAAUUAGACACACAAUUGAUAAAAUUUUUCUAUAAAAAUUUUCAUGCAAUAUUCCUAUCAUAAUACCUAUCAUUUUAUGAAAUUUAAAUAAUUUUAUUUUUCGAACUCGGAUUUGUGGUCCGGAAACCACAAUUUUGAUUUCACUGAAAUUGGGCUGAUACAAGUUUGAUGGACUUUAAUGCCUUACCAAGUUAGGUCAUUUUGGCCACUUUAAAGUGCUUGUAUAUAAUAUCAUUUUUGGUAUGUUUGUGAUGGCAUGUAAAUGGCCAUAAACAAAAGACCUAAGUUCUAUGCUUGAAAUGUGGUUAUGUUGCUUUGAUUUGAUUAAUGAUGUUUUGACAGAAUUGUGGUGCAUUUGAAUGCCAUAUUGGUUAGAUCAAUUAGGAUAUUUGAAAUGGUAUGUUUAGGUAUAUUUGAAUAAUGUUUAAAUCUCUUGAAUGUGUGCACAAAUGGUAUGGUCGAUUAGGUGUGUUUUGGCUUUGAAAUGGCUUGAUUUUAGGGUCAAAUUAUGGAUCACAUGUCUAGGGCACGAGCUAUCACAAGGUUGUGUGACACACACAGCCUGGCUAAACGGUCGUGUGUCAUUUGUAAACUCCUAGUGUAUUAAAUCAAAGAGUUACACAAUCUAGCACACGGCCUGCGACACAGCCGUGUGACCCAACUCAGUGAGUUACUCGAGUGGAGACACGGGCCGAGACAUGAUCAUGUGUCCCUUUAUUCGAUUGUUACACGCCCUAAGCUAUGUCACACAGCCUAGCCAUACGGCUGUGUGACCCCUAUUUUCAAAUAUUGCAUAUUUUUCCAAAUUUUUUAUUUUGUUUCAAAUUAGUCUGGAAUUGUUUCUAAGCUAUUUUUAGGGCCUCGAAGACUCGAUUUAGGGACCAAAUGCACAUGUUUGAUUGGUUUUUAAUAAGAUUAACUUAUUUAAUGUUAUGAUGUUAAAUGUUUUUCGAUUGUUCAAAAAUUCUCUGUAACCUAAUUUGACGACGGAGACAGGUUAGGGGUGUUACACCAUAUAGACUCAUAGAGCCAAACAUGUCUCAAAAGUGAAGCAUUAAGUUAACACUCUCCAACACACCAAACAUGCCUCAUUGAAUGGAACUUAACUCACAUUCCCUUAUCUGUCCAACAUGUCCCAAGGCCUCAACACCUAAAUCACAUAUACAUAUAGGUGAGUACUCACAAUCCUAUGUCAUACCAACUAUAUCUAAUGGUCUCAAGUAUCACAAAGCCAAAAUAUCUGUAUUUAAACACACAUAUUACUUAUUGAUUUUCAUUUACUAUCAUAGCACAUUUUCAUCAUUUGCACAAUAAUAUCACCAUCAAUUAGCAUGAAUGACAUGCUUACAUAUACUCUUCCACAACAAUAAUCACGUACAUAAAACAUAUAUAUAUAGCAUCUCAUCUCAUCUCAAUUCACAUUUUCAUAAUAGCACAAGCACAUUUUUCAAAAGAUAAACAUGAGUACAAGGAAGCUUACACUCAAAAUUUAGAAUAGGGGUUUAGGCUGCAACUAAAUUCCCAACUAAUGCAUUGAAUGGUGUCCAUAAGCAUUAUUCCAAGCACUCACAUAUUACGUUAUUGCUGAAAAGUUGAAAGCACAAACUAGUGUUUCCUUGCCUUUAUCUCUACUCGUAGAAGGUCAUAUCAAUUCCAACAUUUCACCAAAGUAAAUCACACAAAAAUACAAUCAACAUUCAACUUGAGGCUCACAUCAAACAAUCCAAAAACACAAGCCUAAGCUAGGUUCUCUUUUGAUAAAAACAUUCGGCAUAGAAAACUUAAAACUUGAAUAUCUCGAUCUAUACUUAAUCUUUUUAUCGAUAACUGAUUUCAUUCAACUAACUACUCACCUACGACAAAUUUACAACCUUUAAACUAAGCAAAACUACCCAAUUCAUGGUAUUGAAAUUUUUGACAUGUUUAUAGCAAUUUUCAUGAAAAUUCAUUAAAUCCUAAGAAAUAAUUAACAAAAGUUUAAAGUAAGUUUAGAAACCUUUUAAUUAUGUUAAAAUAGGUUGAAAACCACUUUGAAACCACAUUUUUACCCAAAACCCUUAAAUCCAUCAUUAACGACUCAAUUUUUGACUUUUAUUAAAAUAUAUGAUUUAAUAGCUAAAAAUUACGUUUAAAAGACCAUAUAUCCUUUAAAAAUAGUUAGGAAUUGAAUCUUUACCUUAGUUUACGAGAAACUAAGUGCUCGAUCGAAAACCCAAAAAAUCAACAAGAUUGACAAUGAAGGAAUCUAUGGUGCUUUGGGGUGUUUUCUUAGAUUUUAUGGAGGUCUAAUGAUUUUGAAAGUGAUAGGAAUCAAAGGAAUUUAGGUUUGCAAAGAAAUUUGAAUGGAAGUGUAACAGCCCGAAUUUGGGCCUAGGUAGAACAGUGGUUUUGGGACCACUAAUCCAAAGUUGGAGAAAGUAUUUUAUUAUUAAUUUUCAGUUAUAACAUGUUUAUAUUAGUGCAUGAAAAUUUUGGUGAAGUAAUUUUAGUGAUUGCAUACUUAAUUAUGAAAAAGGACUAAAUUGCAUAAAGUGAAAAAGUCCUAUUUUGAUAGCUAAGGGUGUCAAAUAGCUAGAGAACCUAAACUGGAGGUCUUUAAAGGGCAAUUAGACCCUUUAGAAUAGCAUGGCCAGCCAUAGGAGACAAAGGUGGUCAAAAGUCAAAAUUUGGUGAAAUUAGGUGUUGAAAUUGAAUAAAAUAAAACAAAUAGUAAAAGUUGUCAUUUUUUUCAUAUCUCUCUUUCUUCUCCCUCAAUGUUUCUCCAAUAAAAUGGCCAUGGAAGCUUGAAAAAAAUUUAGCAACUUAAAGCCUUUGCAAGUAAGUGAUUUGAGGGUUUUUCUUGAAUAUUUUUGUACUUUUGAGGUCCUUAUUUCUUGAGCUUUCUCACAAAGGGACUAUUUUGUAAAAUGGUUGAAAGUAUAGGGUUUUUACAUGAUAAUAGACAUGUUGAUUUCUGAUAUUUUAUGGAAGAAUAUGAGUUAUAGUUGUGAAAUAAACAACUUUUGUGAAGUAGUUUUCAUGGAAACCCUAACUAAGGACCAUUUUGCAUAAGUUGUAAAAUAUGUGAUAAAUGUGUAAGAUAAUGAGAAUCGUAGGCUGAUCCUAGCAUGAAAAGUAUUCGACUAGGCUUGGUUAAUGAGAAAAUGUGAUAAAAAUCAAAUUUCGGGUCUAGGGGUAAAAUGGUCAUUUUGCAAGAGUAUAGGGGAAAAAUGGUCAUUUUCCCAAUUUUAAACUUUUGAGUACCUAGAUUGAUAGAGUGAUUAAAUUUGUGAAUUUUUAUCAUUAUAGAUCAAGAAUUACAAAAUCCAGGCCUAUAUCUGAGAAAAGCAAAGCUAGCGGACUAAAACUGACUAGUCGCCUACAUUUUUAUUACCGAGGUAAGUUAUAUGUUAAUAAUGCAACUAUAUCUUUAUGACGUGCAAUUGAAUUGAUAUGACAUAAAUUGCUUUAAUUUUGAAUAUUAGAAAAUAUGUUGAGCAAUUAGCAUAGUAGAGACUUUCGUUGAACAUUUGGAAUAGACUUGGAUAUUUGUACCGUGAUAAAGGGUGAUAUGUGUGCUAGUGUAAGACAUGUCUGGGACAUGCAUCAGCCACAAUAUGAGAGCCAGUGUAAGACAUGUCUGGGACAUGCAUCGGCCUCGAGAUAUUUAAGCCAGUGUAAGACAUGUUUGGGACAUGUAUCGGCAUCGAGAUUAGAGCUAAUGUAAGACAUGUCUGGGACAUGCAUCAGCCUCGCGGUAGACAAGCUAGUGUAAGACUUGUCUGGGACAUGGCUUCGGCUUGUCGUGUGUUACUAUAAGACCUGUCUAGGACAUGGCAUCGACACCGAUAGAUGAGAACCAGUGUAAGACAUCUCUGGGACAUGGCAUCAGCCUCGCUAUAUAAAAGCCAGUGUAAGACCAUGUCUAGGACAUGGCGUCAACAUCUUAACCCAUGUUCGGGGUAUUGAGUAUUUGGUAGUAUUCCAAAUGGUUCAACAAAAAGGUUUAUGAUUUAUAUCAAAAUGAGAAGAGUUAUGAUCAUGUGAUGAGUGGUACAUGUACCUAAUUGAAAUGUAUGAGAUACGGGUUCAAUGUAUGCAAUAUAAGUUGUAUUGGAUGGUAAUGAGUAAGUUGUAUUUACGCCUACUUAUAGUGUUUAUGAAUAAGCUAUGAAAGGUUAUGAGCAUAUUGCCUUAUGAUAAGUAGUUGUUGUUUAUUUUCAUGCAACUUACUAAGCUUUAUACUUACCCUGUUUCUUUCCAUUUUCUUAUAGUACCGCCUAGUUAGCUCGUGGAUCAACGGUCAUCAGAGGCAUCAAUCACACUACUAAUCGAAGCACUUGGUAUAGUUAGAUCUAUUUAUUUUUAUUAUGGCAUGUAUAGGACUCUUUGAUUUUGCUUUAGUGUCACAUUAUUUUGGGGCCAAAUGUGUUGGCUUGCUUUAACAUUAGACUCAUUUUGUACAAGGCCAUGAAAGAUGGCUAACAUUGAAAGUUAAUAUAUAAAUGUAAAGUAGUCUUUCUUGAAUGAGGAAUUGUUAGUAUGGUUGAAAUAUAUGAAUCGUAUAUAAACCUUAGCUAUGGUUGUUUGGUUGUGAAAUCAUGCUAAUUUAGACUUUGAUUAUGUUGGUUGUUGUUAUGUUGUGUUUCAGGGUGGCAAAGGGCUUGGUAGAUAGCCCUAUGUUGUCCACACGGGUAGACACACGGGCGUGUGUCUAGGCCAAGUGUGACACACAGCCAGCCCCAUGGGCGUGUUAUCCAGCCGUGUAUCCCCUACACGUAAAAUUUUCAAGUCAGUAUGCAUGGUAGUAAACACAUGUGCAGAGACAUGGCGUGUGUCUCAGCCGUGUGGAAGACACGGCCUAUGGCCACGGACGUGUGCCUCAGCCGUGUGCCUUAAAUGGGAUGCUGACGUCAAAAAUAGAAUGUCAAGAUUUUUAGACAGGGGCUAGGACAUAAGCGUGUCACCAUCGUGAAAGAGAAAAGGGCCAAGGACACGGGCGUGUGUCAGGCAAUGUGAAAACCCCUGUAGAUUCAAAAAUAAAUUUUAUUUCACAUGGGUAUGAGGUAGGGGCACAUUGGCCAUCAGCACGGCCAUGUUAUAGUGGCCACAUGGGUGUGUUGCCCUUACCCACGGGCGUGUGCCCUGCUUCAAAUGGUAUAUUUCAAUUGUUUUUAAAGAUGUUAGGAUUAAUCCCGGGAUAUGUCCAAAGUGUGAUUUUGGGUCUCAUAGGACUGUAUUAAGAGCUUGUAGAUUAAAAAGGAAAAGAAUUAAAUUUAAUCAAGUCUUGGUGACUCGGAAACGAAUGUAUGCAUGUGGUUAAGUAUGGUAAUGCCUCGUGCCCAGUCCCGGCCUUGGACUCGGUAAGGGGUGUUACAGGAAGAGUUGGAAGAAAAAACGGACGGUAGGAAUGAGUUAUGGAGAAGAACUAAUGUGAAAAUAAAACUAUAAAUAGGGUUUUUAGGUUGGAUGUUAAAAUAUGGUCUAAUUCCCUCUUAAAAACUCUAAGUUUUGACUCUUUUACAAAUUAGUCCUACUUUAAAAAAUUAAAGGUAUUUAAAACUUAUUUUUGGAAAUUGAUGUAAUUUUCUAAAAACCAUAGUCGAAAAAAUCUACAGUGUACCAUGUCAUAAAAUUUCGAACACUCUAAAGCUAAAAUCCUUAAGAUACCCGUAAAACUCUUAGGCCCUGUUUUAAGGUGUUACAGUAAUAAAGGAUAGGAUAUGACCGGUGCACCGAGUCCUUAGUAAUGGAAUGCCCAGUGUGUAGAAGAAGGAUGUUGUCGACGCUUAUUGCUCGUGACGACCCUGCCGCCACGUAAGGAGACUAAUCACCUCUGACAGAAGUUCACGGCCUACUGAAGGGAACUAACCAAAGCAAACACCUUUCGAAAUAUACUGGUACGACAAUUUAUAGGGCUUUUCUCAUAAAUGUUCAGUCAGGCCUAGAUCGAAAGGUUGCCCCAGCCGGCAGUGAAAAAAAUCAUCAUCAACGAUGAUUCGAAAUCAUAUGUCAAUUCCUACAGAGCAGGGGUUGUAUCGAAGCAUACAUCCUAAGUCGAGGCAUCCUAAGCCAAUGCCAAAUGUUUUUUAUGGUCGAAACACUCGACCCUCAAGCUACUAAUCUGACCUGGUCUCGUCCCAUACAUUAAGGGGACCCUUGUUUUUGAGCUGACGCUUGAUAAGGACAGGUAGCUGUAAAGGUUAUUAUCGUACUACCUCAAUCACCUCCUUGAAAGGGUAUCAUCCUCCUCCGAACCUUUGUAAUUGGCUUCGACCGUAGUCUGAAUCUUUGGCUGCCUCUCGUGUGUCUCCUUCAAAAUAUCUAUAUUGUUUUCUACUAGCCGGCGUCCUUAGCUUAGGAGGUCUUCUUCGAGAUGUAAUUUACAGCUAAAUCAUAUCUCCUCUUUGAGAAAGCUGGCUUGCAUAACAUAACAAGAGAAGCGCGUAAUUGCUCUAAGUGCGAGCGCACGCGCUACUACUACAUCAUAAAUAAAAAAGAGGUGACAAAGCACAAUUAGUGUAACAUAAGGGAAAGCAACUAGCAAGAAAGUAGUCACCCCUCUUUGAUUGUGCACAACCCCCGCCAUGAGACACCUAAUCGAAGAAGCGCCUUCUUGCCCGAGAAAGUCAAAGCUCUAUUUCUUCUUUCAUUCUUGAUGUACCCAAGAUUGAUGUCAGUUUCUUCCUAUGGGUUUACCCACUUGAUCGUUCUUCUUGUUCAUUUUUCUAUUUAGAGAGGGGGCAUAUUGGGAUCUGACUCUCAUUAUGGGCUCGCUCUCCUGGGCUGGGAAAAAGGAGCUCCGUAUCGGAGCAUACCUAUUUUCCAAGCAGGUAGUUUAUAUGAAUCACCGAUCAGGCACUCUGUUCACUACCUUAUAUCUGAAGCAGUGCGCAGUAACACUUCAACAGGCAUACGGUGGGAUUACCCCGUAUGAUAUUCAUACUAAACUAUCUGUACCCAUGUCACUCACUAGAUUAGGUUACCCUAGGAUCAUACCAUCCUUUCAUAGACAACAAAUCUAUAAAAGGGAUGACAAAGCUGAUAUGUUAGUGAAACUCUACUUAUCGUUCUUUAGUUUAUCUAGAGCGAUUAAGUUAGCAAAACGGAUUUCUCCGUCUUUGUUUGCUAGCAUAACUGAUCCUAUGUCUGACGUUCAAAAAUUUGCAGAAGUCAAAGAUUGGCUACUAGGGUUAGUAUGUAAACUAGCCAAUCGGUACCUAUCUCAAGCCCUCUCACGCCCCCUUUACCAGGGAAUAUCAUGGGAACCGACUUGGAAGGCUCUGCCAAUGGAUCAUAAGCGACCUGGUCAGUCUCGCCGUGAGAGAGGCAUAUUUGCCAAUUUUACAUCAGAGUGACUCUAGUUCACUAUGCUCCAUUUAUCUGUUAGCCCUGCAUUAGCAUUAGGAAUGAUGCAGAAGCUUACAUCAAAAGGAUCAGUAGCCUUAUUUAUGGUCAUCCAUUACAAGAUAUCCUCGUGAUGAAUGGAAUGAUUGGCUAUCAAAUAUAUCAUUAGUUAUGUUACAAUUCCAUAAAGUAUUCUGAUGGAGUUUGACAGUACUGGUGACUUAUUUGGCUAUCCUACCAGGUUAUCACAUUUAGUUGAGUCUGGUGCGGGUAGGAGGAGGGUGUUUGCCGUAGGAAACUAUGUCAAUCAGAGGCUUCUCUGACCUCCCCAUAAUUGGUUAAUGGAGGCGUUGGGAGAUCUAAAAAUAUAUGGCACCUUUAAUCAAAGUGCCCCUCUUGAUAGACAAGUGGGUGCAAAGAAGAUCUACUCUAUCGAUCUAAAAGUAGCCACUGAUAGGUGGCCUUUAUUGAUACAGUUAGAUCUUCUAGAGUCUCUCUUCAGACAUGAGUGUGCCGGUGAAGUUGGAAAUCUUCUUGGCUUCACUAUGUUCGGGGUUCCUUUGGCGAAAUCCCUUGAGAGGACCAACGAUAGCUUAGGAUUCAGUUUUCAAGUUGGUCAAUCUCUGGGAUACUACUCCUCUUGGGCUUUCUUUAUUAUAUCUUUUUCAUCAUUUUGUUGUAUGGGCAGCAGCAGAACAAGAGUAUCCUGGUCGAUAUUUUGAUCAGUAUGCGAUGAUGAUAUUAUCAUCACUGAUGAUAGGGUAUCUUCUCGCUACCAACAGAUAUUGGAUAGUUUAGGUGCCAUUGUCUCUAAAGACAAGACCUUAGUCUCUGAUUCUGGUUGUGGCGAAUUCGUGAAGAAUUCAGAACACAUGGAUUAACUAAGGAUUUCUCUCCUGUGUCAUUCCGAAAUGUAAUGAACUCUCAUCAUCUGCUAAGAAUACCUUACCAUUUUUGUUGUGGCUGGGCCGUUGACAACCUAUAAAUUCCUACUUACGGGCUCAUCUUAUUGAUUUGCUUCAUAAGUCAAAGGUGUUUUUCUUCAGACUCGAGUGAGGGUGGAAACAGUCUUCCCGCUUUAGAAUCCUCUUCGAGUUUCGAAUCUCUAAAUACAUUCUAGCAUAUUUAUGUCACGGAUUAUGAGAGGACUAUAUUCGAAAGAAUAAGAAGUCUGGAAAGUGCUCAAUAUUACAAUCUUCCACCACAAACGCCGCCGGGGGAGUACGAAACCAUUGUGAGAGCGCAUUUUGAUCAAGCGCUAAGUGUCGAUCAUCUCCGGUCUACUAUGGACAUGGAGUAUCGAGAGAUACUUAUUUUAGAGAAAAAGGCGCUCUUACAAGAAAGGCUUUUUUCUAAUUUAAUCUCGGAGGAUAAUCUAGAGCGUAUUAUGGAACUCUCUCCAUAUAAUAACAUACGCAAUGAGGCGUAUGAAUUUGUGGAGGAGGAAGUAGACACUUUAGAUCUUCGAUUCGAAGAACAAAGAAAAGUGAUGGAUGAACGACUUUCCUCUUUUUUGAGGACAAUAAAUGCCCAUAGUAGAACUUCCACCAUAUACAGAAAAUUUUAUUCACAUUUUAUAAAAGAGGAGUUCUGUAGCCUACAUGGCUUACCACUUCCGUAAAAUAAAUGUGAAUAAAAGAAUCUAUUUUUUAAAAAAGAAUCAUAAUUGUUGUUUUAAUAAUCUAUAAUUAUAUUUAUUUUAGGGCCCUAUUUUUUUAUUUUUAGGAGGAUUAUAAUGAGGAGGACGAUAGACCCGGGGCCGGAGCAAGUUGGGUUGGGGUAUAGAGCCAUAAGCGCGGUGGGGGUGACAAAGGACGUGCUCGUAAGGUUCAUAAAAGGGUAUGAUCAACUCGUUGGUUGUCGGGAACUUAAACUCCUCUAUAUUCGAAAUAUGCCUUUCUAGGAGCAUUACGAUCUGCAGCUCAAAUGGUCUCUUAUAAAGUCUCUAUUGGUCUUAUUCUUAUUGUGCACCUUGUGAGCGCGUUUGGAUCCGCGAAGGCAAUCACUCGGAUGUUCCCCUAACCCAACCCAGGAACGGACCGGAGGGAACCACAGCAUGGGGAAUGUCCACGUCUCGUCGCAAGGCUCAUUUUUUGUUGAGGGUCAUAGGGUGGGUUUCGGGCGGGCAGCUUUAUCUGAUCAAGGGCCGGGGCACAAGGGUCCUGGUACUAUCUAG
rnacentral:lncRNA from 1 species